GAUAUCUCUUCUACCUGCCAUUUUACUAAAAUAUGUUCCACCACAUAUUUAUCAGUUAACCACUGUUAUUACAUGAGUGACACAUAUUCACAAAUCGGCUGAUCACUUAUUUUCCAUUAUGACGUUGAUAUAUAAUUUGCAGACUCCACAAAUGAAGAAAAGAGCACAAAUGACGUUGGCAAACCUGAAACUUUCCCAUUGGGCAAUAAACAUUACUCCAGUCAAAAACAUUAUGGAAGAGGCAAACCUGAAACUUUCCCAUUGGGCAAUAAACAUUACUCCAGUCAAAGACAUUAUGGAAGAGGCAAACCUGAAACUUUCCCAUUGGGCAAUAAACAUUACUCCAGUCAAAGACAUUAUGGAAGAGGCAAACCUGAAACUUUCCCAUUGGGCAAUAAACAUUACUCCAGUCAAAAACAUUAUGGAAGAGGCAAACCUGAAACUUUCCCAUUGGGCAAUCAGCAUUACUCCAGUCAAAAAAAGUAUGGAAGAGGUGCUUCUCCAUCCGACAAUCAACCACCAAUUCCAUAGAAAUUCAAACACGGCUACUUUCUUGCCACGAGAAAGCGCUCAAUCGAUCCCCUUCUCCUCUAACAAACUACCAGAAAUUUUCAACCAUUUUUCAGUGAAGCCAACAUCUGAGGAAGCCAAAACAAUUAAGCAAACAAUCGAAGAGUGUGAAGCUCCAGACCUUAAGGGAGAGGAAAUAUAUUGCGCCACAUCUUUAGAAUCAAUGGUUGAUUUUAGCACUUCGAAGCUUGGAACAAGAAACGUUGAAGCAAUCUCGACGGAGGUAUUGGAAAAAGGAGCCACCAUGUCCAUCCAAAACUAUACAACAAUGCCGGGACUGAAGAAGUUGGCAGGUGACAAAGUCGUUGUGUGUCAUAAGCAGAACUAUCCCUAUGCUGUGUUUUUCUGCCAUGCAAUAAAACAUACAGCAGCUUAUGCUCUCUCCCUGAAAGGCGAUGAUGGGGAGAAGGUUAAAGCAGUAACCAUCUGCCAUCUAGACACAUCAGAAUGGGACCCAGAGCAUAUGUCCUUCAAAAUCGUCAACGUUAAGCCCGGAACCAUUCCCAUCUGCCAUUUCAUUUCCACUGAUGCUAUUGCCUGGGUUCCGAACCACAAAUCUGCAUGAUCAUCACUUAGCACUAGUACUGUGCGUAUAAUAUGCCUGUAUAAUUAUCUCCCUACUUAUUUCUGCCUGUUCAUCAUGUGGUGUAAGAUAUAUGUUGAGAUGAAGUUUUUGGGAUUAGUGGUCGAAAUUAACCCGAUCAUGUUUUCUCUUGUAACUAUAUAGACUUCAACUUGUACUCAUAAUAAAGCAUGCUAUAUUUAUGAAGAGAUAUUAAUCUUCAGGCAAAUAGAUAUUAUGAAAACAUAUAUAGCAAUUUAUCCAGAAGAAAUAUUAUGAAAUGAAAAGAAUAAAAAGUAAAAAAACAGAAGGAAAGGAAUUCGCACCUGCUAUGUAUGAAAGGACCAAGAUUGUUUUCCCUUUGGUUAAUGACUAGAAAAGCUCACUUGCAGAUUGCUUUCUCUGACCGUAGAUGCAACAGAAAUUUUCUCUUAAUAAUAGCACAAUGAUCGGGUAAUUGUAAGAACAAGUUGAUUUAAAAUUCCUUGACCCAAAAAAAAAAAAAAAAUCAUUUCAAAUUCAGGUCAACCCAUAGAUUUCUUGCCUUUUUCUUCUUCAUCACGUUGGGCUUGUCUUCUUCUUGAGGAUUGUAUAGGCCCAGGAAAUGCUUUGAGGUAGUUUUUGGCCUUGGAAGUUGGGACCCAACCCAACUUCACAAAAAGAAAACAGAUUUGCCAAAAAUCAAAUUUCAAGUCUCUCCUCAGAUCACUAAUACAGAUCAAAUUUUGGAUUUGAUGAACUAAAGUGGUUUUACUUUCUCUGUCAGUGUUUGAUGACUUAAUUUGUUAUUUACUUCUUUUUUUUUUUUUACUUGAUCUUUGUAGGGGUUUUUUUCUUCCGGUAACUUAAACGGGCUGGGCUGCCGUAAAGGGUAGAUUGAUGAAAUUGUCUCCUUUGUCUGAGUUCGAAAAUCAAGCCCCAAAAGCGCUUCGAAAGGGCAGUAGAGCCUUAGGAAGCGUUCUAGUCAUCUUCACCAACUAAAACAACAGCAACUUACAGAUGAUUUCUUAAGGCUUACAGAUAAAUUUUCUAGCUUGGCAUGAGAGGCUUGUGACAUGGAAGCAAAAUCAGCAUGAGUUUAGCACCAAAGAGGAAAAUAUGGCUUCCUAGGGAGAAAUGGGAGUGUUUAAGGUGAGGAAGAAGAGGUUUGCAGGCUGAUUUGGCUGAGGAGAGAGAAAGAAAGAACAAUGUUCUUCCAGUAGCUUGACAAAGCUUCUGACAGAUGUGAAAGUCGUCUGCCAUAAGAGGAAAAUGAAGAAGAAUGGUGAAUAGUGCAUGAAAUUGCUGGGUUUUUGCAGGUAAGAGAGAAAGCUUGCUCUCUGAAUUUGAGUUGGUUUUUGGUUGGGUAGAAGAGGCCCCCUUUUAUAGCUGCGGGAAACCAUCUUUUUUCAAGAAACCCUAAUGGUUUCUAUCCAUUUUGGCCAAGCUUUUCCCUUCAUUUCUCUUCUCCUCCCUUGACUUUUCCUAUCUUGGUGAAAUUUCCUCUGCCUAUUUGCACAAAAUUAGAGAUUUUGAGGAGCUCAAGACCCCUUUCCCGCAGCUGCCUCAGUGGAGAAUCCCCAUUUUCAGUCAUCUUUCUUCCUUCUUUUCUCCCAUCUUCCAAGGUUAGGUCUGAUGAGGGAAAGAAAUGGGUAUGCACACUGGUUUGAAGGGUAUUUUUGCUUGAAACUUGUUCUCUCCCAUGUGCUGGAGCUUCCCAGCAACUUACACACAUGGAUAUUUUGGCUUUCAUCGUGGCUUUUGUUUUCAGCUAGGUGCUGGAGAUUUCGCAGAUAUUUUCAUGAGUUGCUUGGGCCUUCUAGGACAAUAGGUUGGUUUAUCAAGUGAAUGGGCUAACUUCAUCAAUUGUUGGGCUAUUUUGGUUGAGUUAAUGGACUAUUUUGGUUGAAGUAAUGGGCUAUUUUGGUUGAAUUAAUGGGCUAUUUUUCUCUCUUUGUGCUCACCCACAUAUUUGGGCCUAAGAAAUGGGCUUGAGUUCCGGGGCUCCCAAGCAACCCCGGGACUUCCAUUUCUCGGCCCAUCAAUGGGCCUCAUAUCAACUUAUUACCAUCCAUAUCACAACCCACUCAAGCAAGCCCUGGGCAUCUUGCGUGGCUUGGGCCCACUUAAGCUUGUAGCGUGACGUGUUGCUUAUUUGCUUGGCAUGGCAUGUGUGCAAGCGCAUAUGACGAACUUUAGCGUGCCCAAAUUGGGUUUAUUCUCGGUAAGGUAUCGCAUUGGGCCGAGAAUUUAAUUGGGCAGAACUGUGGAUUUUUGGGCCUCAACAAUCUUAUAUAUAUUGGUUUUCUUUUUUUCCUUAAUAUUCACCACCUUUCUGUUGCAUAAGUAUUUCAGUCUUAACGGGUUUCCAUCUACCACUCAUCUUUGCUCUUUUAAGUGUAAGCUUUUUUUUUUUUUUUUUAAGCACAAGAUUAGAGGGGAGGGGGAUUUCUCAAUGUAAGCUUUGCAGUUUCAUAAUUAAUAUUUCCAAUAUCUCACUGUUAGUAAAAUAUGGAACAGGAAAAGUAUGAAUAAAAUACACACAUGUUUUAUUUAGCAAAAUUUUGACAAGAUACAACUGAAAAGUUUGGCCACUAUAUAAUAUUUUGAUAUAAUUUCUACACUUCUUCUCAAAAGAUUAGAUCACUUCACAUCUUGUGUAUGUGAAAACUAAUGUAAAAAGUUGAAACUUUAUCGUAAAACCUCGACAAAAAUGAGCUCUACUAGAAAAUGUUCAAUUUGGAUUCGUUGAUUUAAAUGGCAAUUUGACACUUGAUAGAAAUUUUUACAUACAUGUGUUAGUGUUUGAUCACUUCACAUGUUACUUACUAUAUUUAUUCCACUCAAGUUAGGUAAAUAUUAUUAUCAAACAUUUCAAUUAAUUUGUGAUUUUUUUAUUAUUUAAUCAAUUAUGAAUUAAUGGAUUCUUCUUGUUGUUUUGAAGACCAAUAAAAAAAAAAGGGUAAGGAUGGCUUAUAACUCUGAUAAAACAACAGUGACGUGGACAGCAGAUGUUACACCGUACUGAAGAUUUUUGAAGAUUCUUUAUUUGGGUUUCUUUCAAGAUGAAAACCAUAUUAUCCACAACCACAAUGAAGAAGACAGAAAAUGGAGUAAUUCAGAUGUUACCAGCCAUCCACGACAAACUGAAGUCUGCAAAGCAUUCGUAAUCUAAAGGGAGACUUUGGAAAAGCCCAAAGGAGAGAGAAAAUUUUUAAAAGAAGCAAAAAUGGACAAAAUUGCCCUUAUUUAUUUUUUGAUUUCCUAAGAAAUCCUUUACAUUUGCAUGUCUUUGGUUUGAAAGUUGAGAGGUUAUUCUGUCUUUUUUCAAAAAGCUUUGGCUUUUUCCAAAAGUGAAAGUUUUUUUAUGGGUAAAACCUAAAUUUACUUAAUCCCUAAAAAGGAUGGGGAGGCUGCGCAAUACUUAGCCACGUGUAGGCCAGGAGGCUUUCCAAUUUUAAUAUAUAUAUAAAUUGAAAAAAUAAAAUAAAAAUCAAUCUAUUAUCCUAUAUAAAAUAAAGAUUAUUGCUUCCAUGGGCAGUGCUAUGCACAGGACAGUGCCUGCCCAGCACAAAUUUUUUUUAAAUAAAAAAAAAAAAUCUACAUAUGUUAUAAGCUCAUCCAAAAAAAUAAAAUAAAAUAAAAGUAAAUUCUACAUAUAUGUUGCCCAUCUAGGUGGUUCCAUAUCUUCUCUCUCCUUCUCUUUUGGCUAUUAGACUUCUUGUUUCUCUCUCUCUCUUUGCUACCUCACAUCAGCAAGUUUCUCCCUCUCUUUUUUUGGGGUCAAAUUCUUCCUCUAUUGACAAAAUCUUCUAUUAUCUUGGGUGGGCAACUUGGCAACAACAUCUUCUCUUCUCCUUUUGUCAACAACAAGUAUUAUUCUCAUUCUCUCAUUUGCUAUAUAUCUUUAAUUAUAGUUUUAAUUUAAAAUUGAGUAUUCUAGGGUUUAAUUAGGGAUGAAUUAUAAUUUUAGAAUUUUGUUGAAAUUAAUUAAGGCUUCGAUUAGGGGUGAAUUAUUCUACUGCUUUGGUUUGGAAUUUUGUUAAAAUUGAGUAUUAUAGGGUUUAAUUAUGGAUGAAUUAUAAUUUUUGAUUUUGGUAUUAUUGAGAUGUUAUUAUGAGAAUUUGUUUCAUUUUUUUAUUGGUAUAUUUGAUUAAAAUUCUUUCUACAUAUUAUUCAUAGGCUAUCUUUUAUUAUGUCGGAUCACAAUCGGAAUCCCAAGAGAACAAAGAAUUUGAAUAGUGUUGUUUUGUAUUGCAUUGCAUUUACUUUUGGUUUUAGUUUUGCUUUUAGUGUAAAUUACUCAAAUGGUCCUCAAAUUUGUACCCGAUUUACAUUUUGGUCCAUAAACUAAAUUAUUCAUUCAAAUGGUGCACCAACUCUUUAUUAAUCAGUGCUUUGGUCCUACCGUUAUGUUUUCUAUUAAAUUUAGUCAUGUGAGCAGCACAUGCUACAUUUGUAGGGGUAAAUAAGACUUUUGACCACUUUAUCACCUAUGUAUCACCACUUUAUAACCUAUUUGGAGAACAUAGGUCAGUUAUGGACGGUUUUACAAUUAUAUUUGACGGCAACAUUAACAUAAUGUAACAGUGGGAUCAAUGGAGCGAUUAAUAUAGAGUUGAUGGACCGUUUGAACGAAUAAUUUAAUUGAGGGACCAAAACGUAAAUUGAGUAUAAGUUUGAGGACCAUUUGAGUAAUGUACCCUUCGCUUUUAUAUUUGUUGAACUUUUAUUUAUGGAUAGAUAUGCAUUUGAGGGUAAGACCCAUUAUGUUCCCCCUGACUUGGUGUAUCUUUUUAUGUUUAUUAAUGAAAUUCACUCGAACUGUUGAGUUUAGUAUGUAAGUUUUGCCUAACCGGCUUUUGAAUCCUAGAACCGCCACUGUUGCUCCAUCCUCCAUGCACUUGCAUGUGCUCUUACAAAGUGUGAAGUAGAUUUUGUGUGCUCCAAGUCAUUGACUAGAGCUGAAACAUGGUUAGCUAGAUUUAUAAGGACCCAUCUCUCUAUUUCCUAGACAUAUACCCAUCUCUCUAUAAAUCUAUAUGUAAAACUCAAUUUCAAACUUAAAUGACCAGUAAGAUAUAAGAGGUCAUAGUAUUCCUAUGUUUUUACAUCGUUGCCACCAGACUUCUUAUUUUAUUUAUAAUUUAUUUCAAGCAUUUCAUUAACUGCCAUAAUUGUAAUUAAUACUCCAUAUUAAUAGCAUAUCAAUCACCCCAUUUCUUUUGAUUGCCAUUCCCUCUAACAUAUCGCCCCUUAAAAUUGAAAACCAAAAAAAAAAAAAAUGUAAAUUACAUAUCCAAUAAUGUACCUAUGAAAAAUAUAAAUAUAAAUAUAUACGUAUAAAAAUAUAGGUUUAUUAUUUACCAAAUAAAAAAUAUAAAAAAACUAGGUCAGUUGCUUUGUAAUUGAAAUUUCUAUACAUUUUCCACAAAUUAAAAAUAGGUACACAAUAAUUUAUAGAAAAUAUAGGUGCAUUAUUUAUCCAUAGGUAAAAAUACCUAUAAAUGCACAUAGGUAAAUUAUUUACCCAUAUAUUAUUUUUUUGCUAAGGAUUUACCUUAGUUUUUAGUAGAUUAAUUUACCUACCUAGAGGCAUAGGUAGCUUAAAAAAAUUGUAGCACCUUAGUUGGUUGCAUACUAAUUUACCUACCUAGAGGCAUAGGUUGCUAAGAAAAAAUGUAGGUAAAUUCAUGUACCUAAACACAUAGGGGUCAAAUAGAGAAUAACAUGUUAUUUCCCUUCGAACAAAUUAAUUUCAAACCAUAACAAUAAUUGAAUUCGGAAAUUGGUAUAAAUAAAAGGAAAUAAAUAAGCUAUCAAUUUGAAAAUUAAAAUAAGAAAUGAUCAAGUAGUCAUAUUUGAAAAAAAAGAAAAGAAUAUAUUCUUGGUUUUUAUAGGAACAACGUGUAUAUUCAAACCAAAUGGCAGUAACUACACCAAGCUUUAAUUACUUUUUUUUAAGGCCAAAAGUCACUUUUGGUCUCUGUAGUUUGACACUUCUAUUACUUUUGACGCUGUAGUUUCAAUUCCGUCAAUUUUGCCAUUGUAGUUUCAUAUUUGUAGCAAUUCAAGGACAUGUUAAUAUUAAUGUCAAUUUGUUUAAUGAUGCAAGGGGUAAUUUCGUCAUCCCAAAAUCCUUGAGCAUAAAAGCUUGUCUGAAAUUCUCCCCAUUUCAUAUUAGGGCUCGAAAUUCAACCACUAAUCCCAAUUUUUGAAGAACCCUAUACCCAAAUGACCAAUUUCAAGCCCUAAUAACAAAUUAGGGAAGUUUUAGAUGAGCUUUUAUGCUCAAGGAUUUUGAGUUGAAGAAAUUGCCCCUUGCACUGUCAAAGAAAUUGAUAGGAAUACUGACUUGUCCUUGAAUUGCUACAAAUACAAAAAUACAGGGUCAAAAUUAACAGAAUUUAAACUAUAUGGUCAAAAGUGGUUAAAGUGCCAAACUACAAGGACCAAAAGUGACUUUUAGCCUUUUUGUUUAAAUAAGGAAAAAACUUACCUAUUAAAUCCUUGGAAUCUAUACAAAAUUGAAACACAGUUAAUCAGCAUUGAAUUGCAGCUAAUUUCUUAAACAAGGGUAUUAUAGGAAUUUAAAAAGUAUAACAUUUAAUCCAUUGAGCUUGAUUAGGAAUCUUGAUGAGUUGGAUCCUAGUUAUAUAGUUUCUCUUAUAAAAAUCGGGUUUUAUUUAUAGACAAAUAAAACAAUGGGUUGUAGGUAAGAAAAUAUUAAUUUGAAGGGAAAGUGUCACAUCCUGGGAUCGGCUCCGCCGUAGCACGAUAUUGUCCGCUUUGGGCCCCCCUCUCUGCCCGCACGGUUUUGUUUCUGGGAGCUCACGAGCAACUUCCCAGUGGGUCACCCAUCCUGGGAUUGCUCUGGCCCCCAACUCGCUUAACUUCGGAAUUCCUAUGACUCCGAAGCCAGUGAGCUCCCAAAAGGCCUCGUGCUAGAUGGAUGCGGGUGUGUACAUAUAAGACACAUCACCCCCUCUCCGUUGGUUGAUGUGGGAUCUUACAGAAAGAGUCAAAUUUACUAAAUUAAUAAAGCAUAAAUUGGAAAGGGAAAAGAUCUAGAGGAUGCAUUGUAGGAUUGCUCAUGCCAAUAAUUGCACCCUCUCGAUAUUGAAAAACCUAUUGUGUAUUAUUAUCUUCAAUCAUGAAUGAUGCACCUAAAACCCAAGUGUCCCAAGCCAACCAUUGCGCUCAUACCACUUGUUGCAGUACACAUUCACCCGUUUUUAAAGAAAGAAAUUCUACCAAUCGAUAUUGUCUCAAAUUUAAUCACAUAGGUCUAUUAUGGUUAACCAUAUGUACUUUUAUCGGCCAUAUAGAGGUACCUUUUUCCAACGUGCAACAAUUGUAUUUGAUUCACAAUUAUGUCUGAUAUACAUCACAUCAUGCCACUUGCCUCAAAUGAAUUUAAUUGAGUGAGGCAAUGGGAAGUAAUUAAGCUCUAUAUUGGUGGGUGGAGUGUUACUUCUGGAACCCUCAUCAUUCGUCCAUACAAGGGAACAAUUCCCUUCCUUCUAUAAAAUGGUGAAGCCAGUUGCUAUUGUUUGUUAGAGUUUUAGGAUCUGAGUGUUAGAUUUUGUGAGAAGAGAGAAGAGAAUUUAGUGAAAACUUCCAAUACUGCUCUGCUAUACGUGUAGCAGAGAGAACAUUCUGUUUUGUUAUAUAUUUUCAGUACAACAACACACACUUGGUGUGAGAAGAAAAAUGACUGUUAUGCACAGUACCAGCUGGAUGCUUUCCAUCAAAGUAAUCUCAGCCAUUCACUAUCUAACCAAUCAAGCUAUGACACCUGGACUAAGUAUAAAGAAAUACAACUAAGCAGAAAACAAGACUCUUAAUCCUGAAAUCAACUUAAGCACUUAUAAUUCAACACUCCCCUUUAAGUCUUGAGGUGAUUUCACUCCAAGCAUGCCUCUGAGAUAAUUGAAUCUGUCUUUGGCCAGAGGUUUGGUAAAAAUGUCAGCCAAUUGUUCAUUUGUAGGACAAUAUUCCAGAUUGAUUACCCCUUCUUGCAAUGCAUCCUUGAUGAAGUGAUACCUCCUGUCAAUAUGCUUUGUCUUCUGGUGGAAUACAGGGUUUUUAGUGAUUGCAAUUGCUGAGAUAUUAUCACAAUGCAAUGGAGUAGCUUCAGUUUGAAGCUCUCUAAAGUCUUCUAGCACAAAACGGAGCCAAAUAGCUUGAGUAGUAGCCUCAGCUGCACUGAUGUACUCAGCUUCUGCAGUAGACAGUGCAACACAGUUCUGUUUCACUGAGGCCCAAGAAAAUACUCCACUUCCAAAACUAAACGCAUACCCUGAUGUGCUCUUGCAAUCACCAACUGAUCCUCCCCAAUCACUGUCACAGUAACCAACUAGAAUUGAUCUUUUGCCUUUCACAUAUUCAAGACCAUAGUCCAGAGUUCCUUUGAUGUAUCUCAAAACCCUUUUAGCUGUUCCAUAGUGUCUAUUUGUAGGACAGUGCAUGAAUCUAGCUAGCAAGCUUGAGGCAUACAUGAUGUCUGGUCUUGUAGCAGUUAAGUACAGCAAGCUACCAACAAUGCUUCUGUAUUGUUCUUCAUUUGCAGCUCAACUCCCAUCAUCCUUAGCUAGUUUCUCAGUGGCAACAAGGGGUGUUGUCACAGGUUUGCACUCAGUCAAACCAAACUUGCUCAACAAGGUGCUAGCAUAUUUCUUUUGAUGUAGAAAUAUACUAGACUCAGUCUGAAUAACUCCCAUGCCAAGAAAGUGAUGAAGUAAGCCCAAAUCAGUCAUCUCAUACUUAGCCAUCAUGUCUUCUUUGAAUUCAGCCAACAAUGCUUGACUGCUCCCUGUAUACACAAUAUCGUCUACAUAGAUAGACACAAUUAGAAUCUCCUUAUCUCCCCUUACUUUGGUAUAUAAGGUUGUUUCACUUAAGCUUUUCACAAAACCACAUUGAGUGAAGUAGCUGUCUAUCUCUCCAUACCAAGCCCUUGGGGCUUGCUUCAGACCAUAAAGGGCUUUAUGCAAACGAUAAACCUUGUCUUCUUUACCUUUAAUUACAAAACCUUCAGGCUGACUGACAUAAACUUCCUCUUGCAGCACACCAUUAAGGAAAGCAGACUUCACAUCAAGCUGGAACAAUUUCCAAUCCUUUUGAGCAGCUAGAGCAAUAAGUGUUCUAAUGGUGUCCAAUCUGGCUAUAGGUGCAUAAGUCUCAUUAUAAUCCAGUCCAGGCUUCUGAGCAUACCCCUUAGCCACUAAUCUUGCUUUAUUCUUUUGCACUGAGCCAUCCAAAUUCAGCUUUGUCUUGUACACCCACUUAACUCCAAUCACUGGUUUUUCAGUUAGUCUAUCUACCAAUUCCCAUGUUUCAUUCUUUUCAAUCAUCUGCAGUUCAUCUUCCAUAGCCUUAAGCCAAGAUUCAUCCUGAGCAACAUCAGCAUAUUUUUCUGGUUCCAUGAUACACAAGUUACACUGAGCUAGAACAUCAUCUAGCCUUCUCCAUUUUAGAGGGGUGUGAUCAUAAGCUUGAGUUCUCCUUUCUUCACUGCUUAUAUCACCUGGAGUUGAUGAAAUGCUCUCUUGCAUAUCCAAAGUUUGAGGUGUACCAGUAGAAUUCUCAUUAGAACUGUCAGAUUUCAAGUCCAAAUCAACUUGGUUUUCAAUUGAGUAUGUUGUCAUAACUGAACCAUUUUUGUUUGUCCAAUGCCAAGCAUUUUCUUCAUCAAAUGUCACAUCCCUUGAUAGUAAAAGCUUGUUAGAAACAGGAUCAAAAACUCUAUAUCCUUUUUCACAAGUUGCAUAUCCCACAAACACUCCCUUUGUACUCUUAGGAUCCCGCUUGUGUCUCAAUUCAGUUGGCACAUGAACAUAACACAGAGAACCAAACACUUUCAGAUGUGCAAUUCCAGGCUUCCUUCCACUAUAUGCUUCGAAUGGAGUAAUGUUGUUGAGAGCUUUGGUAGGACAUCUGUUCAGCAAAUAGAUAGCUGUAUGCACAGCUUCUGCCCAUAGGAAAUAAGGCAUUCCCUUCUCAUGUAACAUUGAUUUUGCCAUCUCAAUGACAGUUCUAUUCUUCCUCUCAACUACUCCAUUCUGCUGAGGAGUAUAGGCCAUUGUAAGCUGCCUUUGAAUGCCAUUAGCUUCACAAAACUCCAAAAAAUCAGUAGACAUAAACUCUCCACCCCUGUCACUUCUUAUGCACUGAACCUUGUGUCCAGUUUGUAAUUCAGUCAUGGACUUGAACUUCUUGAAACAAAAGAAGGCUUUUGACUUGUUUCUCAAGAAGUAUACCCAAAUCAUUCUUGUGAAAUCAUCUAUAAUCAGCAUGAAAUAUCUGUUCCUUGCAACAGACUCAUUUCUCAUGGGACCACAGAGAUCCACAUGUAUUAGCACUAGUACUUUGCUUGCUCUUUGAGCUUGAUCUUUUGGAAAAACAUUUCUGUGCUGUUUUCCAAAUUGGCACCCGUCACACACACCACUUUGUUCUUCCAAUUUUGGUAAACCAUGUACCAUUUCUUUAUCACUUAGCUGCUUCAAUCCUCCAAAAUGCAGAUGACCAAAUCUCUUGUGCCAAAUCCAUGUGGAUUGAAGAAAACUAGUCUUCAUUAGUAACUGUUUUUCAGCUAGAAAAGAGACAGGAUAGCAUCUGUUACUCUUCAUUUGCACCUUUAUGAUGAGAUAAUCCAUGGAUGGGCUAUCAAAUACCCUGCACAUCCCUUCUCCAAACACUAGACAGUACCCAUGUUCAUCCAUCUGCCCAACACUUAGCAGAUUUUCUUUCAAUCCUGGCAGAUACAUUACUUCUCUGAUGUAUUUCCUGCCCUUUGCUGUAUCAAUACUCAGUGAGCCAAUACCAGCUACACUCACUAAUGCACCAGUUGGCAUUUGUACUCUCCCAGCUACAUUAGUUCUCACAUCAACCAGCAAAUCUAAAUUUCCUGUCAUAUGAUUGCUGCAGCCACUGUCAAUGUACCAUUCAUUGGUUUUGAUCUCAGUGGUUGAGCAAUUGGCAUAAAACAGGUUUCCUGUAACCUCCAUUUGAUUUACACAAUUAGCCUUCUGCACAUUUUUGCUCACUGUACAGUCUCUAGCAAGAUGUCCAACUCUGUCACAGUUAUAGCAUUUUGGUUUUCCCUUAUACCUGCACUCACCAAAAUGAUGCUUUGAACACACCUUGCAUUGAGGCUUUGUGUUUUCCUGAUUUGAGAACUGUGUUGAAGUGUGGUUCUGUGCAGAAUAAUUAUUCUGCUGUGUCUUGUCUUUUGCCUCCCAUGACUUCCCUUUAGAGUUCCAGCUUCUCUGUGACUUAGAUGAACCAGACUGAGAAGCAUUUUUGUUCUGACCCUUUGAAUUCACAGUGAAUGAGGCAAAUGCCUUCUCAGCUGUAUCAACACUAUGCAUUUCAAGCCUUUGCUCCCGACUCUUCAAAAUGGCAGUUACUUCCUGCAAAUCCACAGUUUCUAGUGUCUUUGUGUUUUCAAUCACAAUGCAUAUAGGGUCAUACUUCUUACUUAGACUAAUUAACACCUUCUGAACCUACCUCUCAUUUGACAGAACUUCACCAAAUGUUUUCAUUUGGUUAAUCAAUUCAGUUAGUCUAGUAAGAUAUUCAGAUAAGGUUUCACUAUCACGCAUCCUACUGUAUUCAAACUCACGUCUAAGGUUUUGAAGCUUUACCGAUCUAACAUGCUCUCCACCAUGAUAUUCUGAGUACAGCAGAUUCCAAGCCAUCUUUGCAGAGUCAGCAUUGGCAAUUCUGGGAAAAAUCUGAUCAGAAACAGCAUUUUGAAUGAUACCCAAGGCCUUCGCAUCCUUCAUGAGAAUCGCAGCUGUUUUCUCAUCAACUUCUUCUUCUGAACCAUCCUCAGAUUCCUGCUUCGUCUUUGAAUCUGGGAUUAAAAACCCCUUCUCUACCAAACCCCAUAAACCAUAUGAUCUGAAUAUGGUUACCAUCUUAAUCCUCCAAAAUUCAUAGUUCUCACCUGAGAAAAUGGGGAUUCUAGCCUCUGAACUUCCAGAUCCAGCCAUUACGAAUUUCAGAUUCGCCUGGAAACAAGAUGUUUUCAGAUUUGACCCUUGAUCGAGCUCAAUCAGCUUCGUGAGCUUAGAAUGAGCUCACCUCGAUCGAUUUUCUUCACAGAACAACGCCCAGCUUCAGAUAAUCAAACUUGGCUCUGAGGCCAUGUUAGAGUUUUAGGAUCUGAGUGUUAGAUAUUGUGAGAAGAGAGAAGAGAAUUUAGUGAAAAUUUCCAAUACUGCUCUGCUAUACGUGUAGCAGAGAGAACAUUCUCUUUUGCUAUAUAUUUUCAGUACAACAACACACACUUGGUGUGAGAAGAAAAAUGACUGUUAUGCACAGUACCAGCUGGAUGCUUUCCAUCAAAGUAAUCUCAGCCAUUCACUAUCUAACCAAUCAAGCUAUGACACCUGGACUAAGUAUAAAGAAAUACAACUAAGCAGAAAACAAGACUCUUAAUCCUGAAAUCAACUUAAGCACUUAUAAUUCAACAUUGUUACCAUAAGAGCCAGCUCCGACUUUCUUUAAUUUCAGUCCUAACGGGGUUUCAUCUUCCACUCAUCUUUGCUCUUCUCAGUGUAAGCUCUGCAAUUUGAUUAACUUUCCCAUUAUCUCUCACUGUACUCUAUAUAAAGGAAUAAGUGUCGUCCACUAAUUAAUUACACUUUGUGAGAUUUGAUUUUAAUUAGAGUUCGAAUUGAUGUUGCAGCUAGCAGCGGUGGCACUGGCAAACCAUGCUGCUCAACCAGCACCUCAACUUUACUGGAACUCCGUCCUGCCAAACACACAAAUGCCAAGAGCUAUCAGUGAACUUCUGCAUCCUGGUUUGUGUUGAAUAAAUAUAGUAUGUUACUGGAGUACGUAUGGCAACAUAUUCACAAAUGUGUCACGUAUUUUCCAAUAUGACGUUGAUAUAUAAUUGCAGACUCCACAAACGAAGAAAAGAGCACAAAUGUCAUGAAUGCUGUUGGGAAUGGAAAGCCAAUUGACCACAAGGGCAACCUGAAAAUACUGUACUACCACAGCUUGCACGACGCCCAUUUUCUUACAAGAGUGAUGAUCGUCCCACUGACAAUCAACUCCAUUAUAAAAACGUAGCUAUUUUCUUCUUGGAGAAGGACAUGCGCCCUGGCACAACAAUGAGCUUCCAAUUCCCUAGAAAUUCAAACACGGCUACUUUCCUGCCACCAGAAAGAGCUCAAUCGAUCCCCUUCUCCUCUAACAAACUACCAGAAAUUUUCAACCAUUUUUCAGUGAAGCCAACAUCUGUGGAAGCCAAAACAAUUAAGCAAACAAUCGAAGAGUGUGAGGCUCCAGGCAUUAAGGGAGAGGAAAUAUAUUGCGCCACAUCUUUAGAAUCAAUGGUUGAUUUUAGCACUUCGAAUUUUCGAACAAGAAACGUUCAAGCAAUCUCGACAGAGGUAUUGGAAAAAGGUGCCACCAUGUCCAUGCACAAGCAUACAACAAUGCCGGGACUGAAGAAGUUGGCAGGUGACAAAGUCGUUGUGUGUCAUAAGCAGAACUAUCCCUAUGCUGUGUUUUACUGCCAUGUAAUAAAACCAACAGCAGCUUAUGUUCUCUCCCUGAAAGGCGAUGAUGGGGUGAAGAUUAAAGCAGUAGCCAUCUGCCAUCUAGACACAUCAGAAUGGAACCCAAAGCAUUUGGCCUUCCAAAUCCUCAAAGUUAAGCCCGGAACAAUUCCCAUCUGCCAUUUCCUUCCCACUGAUCAUAGUGUCUGGGUUCCGAACCACAAAUCUGCAUGAUCAUCACUUAGCACUGUACGUAUAAUAAGCUUGCACCCCUGUAUAAUUAUCUCCCUACUCUACUUAUUUCUGCCUCUUCAUGUGGUGUAAGAUAUAUGAUGAGAUGAAGUUUUUGGGAUUAGUGGUCGGGUUGCCUUAAAAACACAGAUUACAGAAACUGCUUGAACUUAACCCGAUCAUGUUUUCUCUUGUACUCGUAAAGCAUGCUGUUGUGGUUCUACUUAAUUUCGUUCUCCCCAAUGUUUGAGUGUUUAAUUGUUACGUUGGAUAAUGCUUGUAGUUAGAGAAGCCUUCAUUUAUAUCAAAGUCCUCAACUUGUAAAGAUAUCAAUGGUCCUAGUGCUGCCACGUGUAAGAAGAUUGAAGAAUAAAGCUGUUGAGAUAUUGUUAGACCUGUUAUGCAGUUUAGGAAAACUGUUAGUAUUGAUAAGAGAAGGUUAGAGAUGUUAGAGAGGUUAGAAAACACGUGAACAAGGCUUUAACUCAGCUGAUAUAAAGUCUGUAGUUGUGCUCAGUUGAACUUAAUGAGAAAUACAACAAGUCUCUUCUCUAUCUCUGAAAUUCUCUCUGCUCUCUCUGCUUUACUUCUUUUGUCUCUGCUCUACAUUUUUUUUCAAUCUUCCUAUCUUAACAAAACUAUCAAGAAUUAAUGCAUCCAGAAACAUAUAUACCAAGACGCAAAACAACAUAUUUUUCAUGCUCUGUCUGUAACACCAAAGCAAACUUCCUUUAUCACAAAAGGAUCAAAUUCCAGUACUAAUCUAAUCCAUCAUGUAAAGCAUACAAUCUACAAGUGCCUCCCUUAAUUUGUCCAUUGGAUAUAUAUGUCACUUUUUGGUAAUUUGGUAUAGCAGCACCACGUAGUCUUGAAAUAGUAGUGCGGCUAUACCAAAUAUACCAUUUGCCCCUGCAUUUAACAGAAAAGUAAACAAAAUUGACGGUAGAACUAUUUGUCCUAACGAAACUGCAGUUGAAAGACCAUGAGAACGAUUUUGAAAAUUGAGGGACUCAAAUGAAAAUUGGGUCUAAGUUCAAGAACCAAUAAAACGAUUAACCCAUAGAUUUUGGAUCCAGUACCACAUCCCAAAGAGAAAACCACAAGUUUGCAAGCAAGUUUGUCCAUAAUAACACUACGUACAGUAUGGGCAGUGCGCUAGACUCAUCUCACUUUCUCAACCUAUCCUAUAGUUGUCUAAAAGAGUUUCUAAUUUAAUGUACUGAGAUUUACGAAAGAAAUAUCAGAGAAACAAUUUUCAGGCAAUAAAAAAAUGUCUUGGCAAGAAAAUGUACAAUUUGUUACAUAACUUAUUAAAUAUGAACAGUUGAAAGAAAAAAGAAUCUGGAUGAGGGAUUUGCAAAUUCCUAUGGCCCAAUUACCUUUUUUUCUUUGUUGUUUUUUUUUUUUUUUUUUUGGUUCUUUUGAUCCAGUAGCAUAUUCCAAAGAAUGAAAACCACAGGCAUGCAAUGCAAGCUCUUUUCCCACGUUUUCCUCUGUUUUUCUCCUAUCAUGGAAGUGAUUAAAACACACCUCUAAGCUUGUUUUGCGUUUGGUAGCCGAGUGUAAAAGCUCAAUGCAAGAUAGUUUGAGGUAGAAUUUUCUCCUAUUUUAUUAGGACAAUGAUAAUUAAAAAAAAGUGUGAUUCAUUGAAUAUUUGCGGGGUUUUGUUCAGACCUGACAAAGUUCUAAGUCAACACAUCAAAUUCCUUUUUCCAACAUGCAACAAUUGUAUUUGAUUCCCAAUUUUUUCUGAUAUACAUCACAUCAUGCCACUUGCAUCAAAUGAAUUUAAUUGAGUGAGGCAAUGGGAAGUAAUUAAGCUCUGUAUUCGUGGGUGGAGUGUUACUUCUGGAACCCUAAUAAUUCGUCCCUACAGGACUCUAGAACUCUCAAACUUCUUACAAGGACUACUUAACUCUAUAGCUUAAUGCAUAUAGCAUAUAUAUGCAAACACAAUUAGAAAUUCUACAACAGAAGCAAGAUCAAUCUCACUAUGCCUUCUAAACAAACAAACAAAUAAAACAAGCAUAUUAAUUGCUUUAAUCACUCUACUAACAUCAACACAGCACACUUAGUUUACUAACAGAUGAUAUAGAAAGGAAAAAAAAGGACCAAUAGGGAGAAAAUGGUGAACUAAGGAGAGACUAAUACUUCUGGUCCUUAGAAGGCAUAACAGAAAUAAUAGAGCACACUGCUUGAAUGCAAGUCAGUAUUAGGAGCAAAACAGCUGCAAUGAAAGAAAUAGUUGCCCAAGGUGUAUUGAAAUAAUGUUGCCUCAAAUUUGCCUUCCAUUUGUUCCAAGGCUUUCUGCAGUAGCUAUUAAGGCGCUCAGAAAGAAUAGCAAAGUAGAAGCUUUCACGAUACACUGCAAUUCCUUUUCCGAGGUUGUUAAUCAGAGUGCACACCUCAUUGUAGUCACCAAGCAUAUUUUUGACAAUCCCAUCCUUCAGAAGGAACUCCACAUCCUUUUCGGUGUUCACAAACUCAUCCAUGAGUGAAACAUAAUCACUUAUGUAAUUCUUACGGCAAUGGCACUAUUCAAAGGCAAUGAGGUUACGGAGUGUGAGCUCUGUGUAAUCGUGUAUUUUUAGUUUUGGAAUUUCUAGAAUCCCAUCGUUGAAUUGUGUUAACGCAGCUUUCCUUUCCUAGCCUACACGGAAGUCAACUUCACAAUCUCCUCCUAGCAAUUAGUCUUUCCUGCUGUAAAUCAGAUUUCCUACUGUAAAUCGGAUUGUAUUCAUGUCUAUAUUAUUUCCUACUUUAAGUAGAUAUCUUGUACUAGUAUAAAUAGGGACUUUGUGUAAUCUGUUAAAUACAAGGAAAUAUAUACUCUGCAUGGUAUCAGCCUAACCUAGGGUUCUCUCUCUCUCCCUUAUUCGAUCCUCUUCUCCUUUAGGUCCACCUCAUGGCUUUGUCUGAAUCCACCAUCUCCCUCCCAAGCCCCAACUCUUCUAUUUUAUCAAGCUUAUUGACUCCAACUAUCUUCUUUGGCUCCGCCAACUCAAACCCUUUUUAGUCGGCCAUGACCUCUGGAAAUUUAUCGAUGGCAUUCAUAAACAACCUUCUGCCCACACCUCCACCUCUACCACCGCAACACCCACAACCACCACCACUCUUACCCAAAUCAAUCAUGCCCAUGCUCAGUGGUACCAACAAGACCAACUCAUUGUUAGCUACAUCACCAAUACACUCUCUGAGUCCAUUCUCUUUCUCACUGUUGGUUGCACCUCUGCCCGGGAUCUCUGGGAGUGUCUCCAACGCCACUUCUCUCAAUCCAGUAUGGCCAGUGAAUCUACUCUUCGUUUUAAACUCAUGGAUUUGCAAAAAGGCUCUGAACCCACUUAUGCUUACAUUCGUCAUGCUAAGUCCUUUGCCGAUUCACUGGCUGCCAUCAAUGAACCUGUCUCCCCAAAAGAACUUGUCACUACUGUGCUUUGGGGUUUAAGACCCUAUUGCAACAUCCUCGUCACAGCAAUUCUCAAUUUCCCUCUGCUUCCUAACUUUGCUAAUCUUCGUGCUCGUUUGUUAGCAUUUGACGCACAGACUCCUUGAAUCUCUCCUGAUCAAAACACAGCGCAAAUGGCCACCCAAUCCUCUCCUCACACCACCGGUCAUACUUCCUUCCCUUCUCACCGUGGUGGUGGCUCUUCCAACAACAGGCGUGGUGGCCUCGGUGGCUGGCGCAAUAGCGGCCGGGGUGGCUGGCGCAGCUUCUCAUCUUCCUGGAGCAACCCGUGGAAUGGCUUCCAGCAGCUCCAAUGACCUAAUCAACCAUGGCCUCCUUUUGCUCCAAGUUCUGGAUCUCAAAGCAACUGGCCUUCCUUUCAGCCUCCUUGGGCCUAAUCUGCCGCUUCUAUCAAACACUUUGCCCGGCCCAACUCAGCUCCUGGUGUCUUGGGACCCGCUUGGUGCACUACCUGCAAUACCAAUCACAUACUACUACAAUAUGUCCUCAUCGCUACAAUGGCCCAGAAUCCUUUCUUUGCUAGGGCUCAAUUCAUGUAGCCACCUGACUCUACUUGGUACCCUGACACAAGUACCACUCAUCAUAUGAUUGGUAGUCCUUCUAAUCUCCAAAAUCAAUCCUUCUAAUCUCCAAAAUCAACAGCCAUAUCAGGUUCAUAAUUCUGUAUUUCUUGGUAAUGGAGAUUCUCUCCCUAUCUCUCAUACUAGCUCUCUCUUUUGUCUUCCAUCUCUUCGUACUAAUCUUCUUUUUGUUGCCCAUUUUACUUGUGAUAAUUUAGUUUUCUUUGUCUUUACUCUUGACUUUUAUCAAAUCUAUGACUUAUGUACUGGUUCGUUACUCUUUCAGGGCCCUUCUAAAGAUGGUCUUUACCCACUUUCCAUCUCCUCUCACUCAUCCAUAGUCCCCCAUGCCCUUACCACCGUGCACUCUCCUGCUUGGCAUCAUUGCCUUGGCCAUCCAUUCCAUCGUGUGCUCUCUCAUUUAGCGCCAUCUCUAGGCUUUAAAGUUUCUCAUGCUUUCUGUAAGGAUUGUGCACUUAGCAAAUCCACCAAACUGUCAUUUCUUAGUAAUAAAACCUUUGCCCCAUCUCCCUUUUAUUUAAUUCACUCUGAUGUAUGGAUGUCCUCGGUCAUUUCUGUCACUGGUUAUCGCUAUUAUGUCUUGUUUACAGAUGACUUUUCUCGUUACUCCUGGAUCUAUCAUAUGCACCGUAAAAAUGAGGUCUUUUCUCACUUUCAAACCUUUCUUGCUAUGGUUAAAAAUCAAUUUCACACCACUGUACAAAUUCUUUAAAGUGACAAUGGCACUGAAUAUGUUAAUAAUGCUUUCUCUGAUCUUUGCAGUCAACUAGGCAUCCACCAACGUUUCACAUGUCCCCACACUCCCCAACAAAAUGGCCUAGCUGAACAUAAACACAGACACAUUGCCACCAUGAUCUGUCCCCGGUCAUUUAUUCAACCAUCUUGACCUUUUGCUUGAUCAUUUUCCACAAGCAACCGUCCACGUACCCCAAUAAUUUAAAAGGGCUGAUGAUCUUUAAUUUGGUGAAAGCUUCUAUCUACCUACCGUGCUAUAUAUGAGCUAUGCAAUCGUGACCGUGUUACAUGACGUCCCAAUGUCGUAGGGAUAAAAAAAUAAUAGUCAUGGUUUUCUUAUUAAUGUCAAUACAUUCAUAGCAAAGAGCUUGUAGCUCUAGUGGUUAAGAGCAAUUACCCAUGCACUUGAGAUAUUUUGUGUUUAAAUCCCCUCUUCCCCAAUAUUUCUUGUAUAAAAAUAAAAAUAACAAUAAUAAUGACAUUAAUGUUGUAUUCUAUAAAGUGUUGGACAUGUUUUAUACCCCUUUCUUGCAAAUUACAGUUUGCCACGUGUACAAAAAUAAUAGAUAAGUGUUGGACAUCAAGAGCACUUACAUAUAGGUUUAAUAGGUAAGUUUUGAAUAUUUCUGUAUUUAGCUUUAAAUAUUGAAAAUCAACCUAUUAGCAUAUUAAAGAUUUGUCCAUAUUCGACGUACAUUCUCUUAUUUUUCUCUCAUUGAAGUAAAUACAAAACUAAGCACAUAGUGGGAAAGUGCGUCACGAUUAGGGGUGGGUUUAGUCUAGGUUGGUUCAUUUUUGGGCUCAAUUUGAACACCGAACUGUAAGCUUCGGUUUGGCUAUUUUGGAAACCGAAACCAAACCAUAAUUGAUGAAAACCGACCACUUCGAUUACCUUCUGGUCUUCCAACCAGAAGAAAACUCAAAACUUUAACCAUACCAAGUGCAACAGAAUUACACCAGGCUGGAUUCAAGUUUAUGAUGGUUAAAGAUAAAAACUUAUUUGACAUACAAUUUGAGAAUGGAAUCCUCAAAAUUCCACACCUGCGAAUACGGGGUUUAACAGAAAUUUUCUUCCGCAAUCUUAUUGCCUAUGAGCAGUGUGAGCUUCAUGAUCAUUACAUCAACGACUAUGUCUUCAUCAUGGACCGCCUGGUCGACAGUGCCAGGGAUGUGGAAUUGCUUGUGAAGAGUGGAAUUCUUGAAUCUAUGCUACCGGACAGCGAGGCAGCAGGGGAAUUUAUUAAUUCUCUUGACUUGGGGCCUAUUUUAGGCAAGCUUGAAACAAGACUAUUUCAGUUCACCAUGGGCUGGCCUGUCUAUUAUUGUAGCCGCUAUACUAGUUGUGCUCACAUUUAUUCAAACAGUGUGCUCCGUAAUGGCGCUGUAGGUUCUUCAUUUCCUCAAUUUCAUGUUUAGUGGUUGCAGAUUUGUUGCUCAUGUACGUGUUUAUCUAAAGUUAAAUAAGAGUGAUUGACUGGAUUGACUGUUAGUCUGUUAGUUUGUUUUUCUGGGGUUUUUCCCCCCUGUUCGUCAAAAAAAAAAAUAAAAGAGUGAUGGCUUGUGCCUAUGAAAAUUACUUAGGAGUAUGCUCCACAGAGCCAAAAUAAAUAAACUAGGGAAGUGGAGGUUCUUCUGUUUGUAUAUAAAUGAGCAAUUCAAACUCUCAGUGCCAAGGGAGUUACCCUUGAUACAUUUGUUAAAAAUUAUAUAUUUGGUCUUACAUCAAACAAAUAAUUUGAAGGGCUUUUUUGACAACUGCUGACAGCGUUUGGCAGAAAAGUUUAGAAGCGCUUCUACGCUUCUAGAUCAUAAAAGUGCUUUACCAAAAAGCACUUAGAUUUCUUAUGAAAAUUUCAACAUUUUUAUAAUAAAAGCGCUUGCUAGAAGCACUUAUAAGCAGAAGUGCUUCAUAGAGAAGCAGUCCCAAACGAGCUUGAUUUUCAAAUGUGCUGCUUAAGAAGAAAUUUAAUACGUUUUGAAAACAAAAAAAAAUACGAAAUUUAAUACGUUUGUUUUACAAAUUGUAUUAAUUGUUAUCAAUAAUACUUGUGCACACCCACAACAUACUUCUUUCUUUCUUUAUUUUCCUUCAGUACAGUUCUGCCUUUCUUUAAUUAUUUUUAACGAAUGCAAAGAGUUUGUCACAAAAUCAAGGAUUGAAAAAAAAAGAGAGUAAAUUAUGUGCUAGAGAAACUUUCCUGCAGAAAUUGAAGAACAACUCUAGUUUCUCUCUUUCGCCUUGUACUCCCGCACUGAGGUUAGUAUUGUUAUAAUGUGCAGAUUAUACGGUCACUCUUGUAUAAUGGCGAGAAGGCUCUAAUUAUAUUUUUGAACCUCUUUGACAGGACCCGCCCCGAAUUUCCCGAAACCCAAGACGAAUUCUGUGGAAAUUCCCUACAUCACCCCGAUGUUGGGCCCACUUCUAAAACUAUAUCAUUUUUCCUAAAAAGGAAUAAGGGCACGAGACUUUCUACCGAAAUUUCGGCAGAGUCUCUCCUGUAAAUUGAACAUUUCCCAAAAUUUCAACCUGCAUAAAACACAUUUUAUAUUACCCAACUGGCAGCAUGCACAAAAUAAUAACAUGCAAUUCACAUAAACGGCCUCUGGCCCUCCGGUAAUUCAGAGCAAUGCAAACUAGCAACUCUAAACCUAAUAAAACAACAUAAGUAACAUUUAGCCAGCGGCUGCACCCAGGCACUACCCUAGGCUACCUACGUACCCUUACUAAGGGAUCAAGCCACACGUAGUUCUUUCAUACAAAAUUUCCAAAUCCAUCAACAUGCAAUCAAUUACAGAAUCCCAAACAAAAUCUUUCUCAAACAUCAUUAGUUCCCAACUCAGUAUAAUAAUCCUUAAUUCAUCUCUGUAAUAAUCACAAUAUCUCCCCAUACGCCGGAACUACCAACACCACGUAUGGAGCCUGCCUGUACGCCAGAUAACCAACGACACGUGGGACCUCAUCAUCAUAUCACAUAAUCUCCCCAUACGCCGAAACUACCAACACCACGUAUGGGGUCUGUCAACACGCCGGAUAACCUACGACGUGUGACCUCAACAUCAAAUCACAAUAUCUCCCCAUACACCGGAACUACCUACGCCACGUAUGGGGUCUGUCCACAUGCCGGAUAACCUACGACACGUGGGACCUCAUCAUCAUAUCACAUAAUAUAUUAACGAUCAAGAAAUAUCACUACGGUCAUUUAAUCCUCCUGGGAAGGUAAAACUAUCUCAGGAGACUCACGGUCAACCAAGGGUCAAACUACCUCAUACUUGGACAAACGAGCCCACGGAGCCCACAACCUCCGUUUUACUAUCCAAGAGUUCCUAUAGGUUCUACAAGGUUUAGGAUACACGGCUUGCAAGUUUGGUCAAGAUCAGACGGUCGGAUCGCUCACGAUAGGACGGUUACUGCAAACCUAGCCCUAGGGUUGGCAUUUUCGGAGUAUCCGAAACUCCGUUUUACGAUCUGUCGAAUCAUAGACGAUCCUAAGGAUUUGCAGACUAACUAUAAUAAAUUCAAGACCAUCCAACGGUCUAAACCUAUCGAACCCGGAUAACGCGCAAUAGGCAAUAUCCAAAUUGAAAUCCGAGCACACCUACGCACUCGUGAGGACUAGGAGAUUACAUCGGGACAUAGUGCCCUUUUUCUACAGUGCCCAUGAGCCGCCGCACGCACCAGCAACGCGUGGGUGCCCAAAGCGAUUAUGCAUCGCCAAAAAAUCUCAAAACCACGGCUCAAGACUCCUACCCUAGGUAUAACACCCUAUUUGGAACCACUUUUGUUCUUGGACCUACCCCAAAAACUGAUCAGAAGUGGCCGGAAUGGCUGAAAUGUAAUUCAAAAAUCAAGCUACCAACGCUCAAAAUCGAUGCAAUCCUACCCAACCAUCAACUAGAUUAUGAAGAAUGGAUAAAUUUCCAUACCUUGAUCGCCAACAAUGGCGGCCGGAGGAGAGAGAUCUGAUCCGGCGAAGUUCGAGUGAAAACGGCCAAAAAUCAUCUUUUUCAGGCGGCUGGAGGGCGACCGAUGUCAGGGAAGGGCAGGGUCGUGACGCUAAGGCUGAGCCUGUCCUUUUGGCACCGGUCCCUUCCGCAGCCGUGUCCGGUGGCUGGAGUUUCGAAGAGAGAGAGAGAGAGAGAGAGAGAGAGAGAGAGAGAAAUCUGAUUUUUAUCAAACCUUUUUGCCAAAAUUACGGUUAUGCCACUGAGGGUAUUUUGAUAGUAUCUCUCUCGUUACAACUUCGAUUCGAGCCCACCACGUGUGUACGGACUCAUCUAACUGUGUUGUACGCAACGGUAUAGUCGAAAUUCCCAAAUUAUUUCCUUGUCAAAAAGUCAACUUUAAACAUUAUAAAAUAUUUUAGGGAAAAAAUGGUAUUUUCUCUCAAUAAAUUAGUAACUAAUUUAUUUAGGACUGGGUCAUUAUACUCUUUUUCGCUUCAAUGGAUGGGAAAAAAUUUUAUGUAAUAUCCCACAUCGACCAACGAAGAGGGGGCGAUGUGUCUUAUAUGUACAUGCCCGCCUCCAUCUAGCAUAAGGCCUUUUGGAAGCUCACUGGCUUCAGAGUCAUGGGAACUCCGAAGUUAAGCGAGUUGGGGGCUAGAGCAAUCCCAGGAUGAGUAACCCACUGGGAAGUUGCUCGUGAGCUUCGAGAAACAAAACCGUGAGGGCAGAGAGAGGGGCCCAAAGCGGACAAUAAGGCCUCGUGCUAGAUGGAGGCGGGCAUGUACAUAUAAGGCACAUCACUCUCUCUCCGUUGGUCGAUGUGGAAUGUUAGAAUGGAAUUGUUACCUUUGGUGUGGAGGUGUUCUAUCAUUUGAGCAAGAAAUUCCCACAUAUUCUUCAACUAUUUUUCAAGCAUGCAUAUUCCUCCCUAUCAAUCUUUGGUUUCUUCCUUUACUGUGCAUAGUAAGGAUCCAGUCAGGGACGGACCGUCGCUAUGACUAUCCUGGGCUAUAGCCCAGGCAAAUUAUUUUUUUUUCUAGUCUAAAAUAGCAAUCCCACCGCUUGCUGUAGUACUUGUUCAGUUCGUCACAAACAUGAGCAUAAUAGAAGUUAUCAACAUCUAUAUAGGAACCCCAAUGAAAAGGCUGUUAACUAAUAAUGAAGUUAACCCGUCAAUUUUUCCGCAUAUCAGAUAUCUCUCAGAAUAUGCGAUUCCAUAUUCAAUAAGCCACUCCACAUGCCCUGAGGUUUUCAUCAAACCACCCAUUAAGGAAACAUACUGACUCAUGUAAUUAUCAUUACUCAUCGGGUAAUGCAAUUGUUCAAAGGCAAGGACAUUUCUCAUUAUUUAUGUAGCGAACCCCAAUGGAAAUGGUGGGAUCUUCAGAACCCCAUCGGUGCUACUGAAUUGUAUGUCAAAUAUGUUUUCACCUUGUCACGCCUCAAACUUGACUCCAGCGUGCUGUAAUUCUGUCAAGCUGGGUAUGGAUGAUGGGAGUUUGAUGCAGGAGCAUAGGGGUGGAUCAAGAUAGAUAUUUACUAUUUAAUUAGUUAUUUCAUGAUAUAUUGUUAUUUUCUUAUUUAGGUAGUUUUAUGAUAUCUUUUAUUAUUUAUGUGUGAUUUUAUAAUUAAUUAGUAUACUUUUGGACCAAGUAGCCUUGGUGCUCAAGUCUUGUAAAGCCUAUAAAUAAGGCUAAUGUAAUAGUUGUAGAAUAGAUGUCGAUGAUUAAUAAAAUCGUUUAUUUGUGGCAUGGAUUUGCUACGAUAUAUGUGAGUUUGCACUAGCCCUAGAUUUCAGUGCUCGUGUAUGUGGUUGGUGACCUGUGUCCGGAUCCCGAUCCCCAUCAAUUGGUAUCAGAGCUAUGGCUCAAGAUCUGCUAUAUCGGGGAGGUUUUUGGAUGGAGGGUCGUUUUAACAACUACAACGACAUGGAGGAAAUUAGGAGGAUGCUACGGCAACUUAUGGAACACAUUGCUCGCAUUGAAGCUCGAACCCAGAUAGGUAAGAGUUCUGACGGGGAGGGAUGUGUGAACCCUUAUCUGAACCGAGUAGCUCGCAUCGACACUCUAAGCCGUGAGAGUCUCGACGGGGAGUACGAGGGAGAUAGCCCUUUUCAUUAUUGUGCUCCGCUGUGUGAGUCAAGUGAAGAGGGGCACGGUUAUUCUCAUUGUGUCUUUGAAGGUAUAAAUGAAUUUAGUAAUUUUGGUGCAUCUUGUUAUUCAUCAAAGUUAUUAAAUUUGGAUUUACCUCCAUUAUUUGAUCCUUGCAAUUGUGAAAAUUGCAAUAAAAAUUGUUUGGGUGUUCAAAGCAAUUUUGAUAAGCAAUUUAUUGACCAGAACAGUGAAGAGAUGAGAAUUGAGAAAACUUUCGAAGAUAUUAUUGAUUUUAUGGGCAUUAAUAUUUUCACUUGGAAGGUUGCCAAAAAUCUGGUUGAUUUUGUCAAUCGGUUGAAGAUUCUAGAGAGAAACAUUUGCAUUGCUAGAGGGAGUAAGAAGUCAAGAAUAACGAAAUAUUCCAAAUAUCUUUUUAUUUGGAAAGGAAGGUUUCAAUUGGAUGCUAAAAGAUCCAAAAUUAAUAUGCAGCAAUUGAAGAUUCUACUCGGAUUUUCCUUAAUCAAAGGCUUGAAUUCGAGGACGAAUUCUUUCCAACUAUGGGAGUCUGAUGCAGGAGCAUAGGGGUGGAUCAAGAUAGAUAUUUACUAUUUAAUUUGUUAUUUCAUGAUAUAUUGUUAUUUUCUUAUUUAGGUAGUUUUAUGAUAUCUUUUAUUAUUUAUGUGUGAUUUUAUAAUUAAUUAGUUUACUUUUGGACCAAGUAGCCUUGGUGCUCAAGUCUUGUAAAGCCUAUAAAUAAGGCUAAUGUAAUAGUUGUAGAAUAGAUGUCGAUGAUUAAUAAAAUCGUUUAUUUGUGGCAUGGAUUUGCUACAAUAUAUGUGAGUUUGCACUAACCCUUGAUUUCGGUGCUCGUGUAUGUGGUUGGUGACCUGUGUCCGGAUCCCGAUCCCCAUCAGAGUUCCCCUCCAGCUUUUGAUUCCAACGGUUGAUAGAGUUUAAAUAUUUUCCUGAAAAGAUCAAUAAUAUGUGCCACUGAUCUAAAAGUCUCCAAAUUGUCUUCCAAUUUGUCAACAGGCAAUAGAUGUUCGAAGAAACUGAAAGAAAUACAAAUUAUUGAAAGCCCCUCAGUAAUGCUGUUAUUGUCAGCAUUAGCAGGGAGUGUAAUUUUCUGUGGGUCGAAAAGAUCCUCGAGAAUGAAGAAUGGCAACUGAUUUUCAAGCAACCACGUAUCUGUCCAUGCAUCUUGCAACAUACCUGGUUUGUCAAAUAUGCGGUCAUUUUCGUCCCAAAAUUUGAAGUAGUCCUUCAAUAAGGGCUCAAUAACGAAGGCGGCGCCCACUAGAAUGAUUGUUACAAAUUCAUCACUGCUAAACUUGAUGGGUUCUCCAUAACAACGUCUCAAUCUUGCUUCGUGGUCCUUUAUUUUCUUAAUAUAAUCCUCCAAACUCACAUUGGUCCGACCUAUAAAAUCUUGCAGGUAUCUCUGUUUGUUCUCUUCCAAUACGACAUUCAAGCCUUCCUUUCCAUGGUGAAGUGGACCUAUAGAGACCGACUGCCUGAGGUGUGCAGAGCUUUUCAUUCACACAUACGUAGAUAAAAUGUCUGGGGGCUCAGAGAGUGAUGAAUGUGCAACAGCUAAUGGGAGGGUUUAUAUUCCUGAAGUAAGAAAUGAGGAAACACCAGCAGUUGGGAUGAAGUUUGACUCGCUUGACCUCGUUUACAAUUUCUAUAAUAGAUAUGCAUUCUUGGCUGGCUUUGGUAUUCGACUUCAUUCUAGCUUUUGGGGGAAAAAUAAGAAAGAGAUUUUGAGGAAAGAAUUUGUAUGUUGCAAACAAGGUGCAUACAAGAAGGAUGAAACUCGGGAGAGAAAAAGACAACGGGGAAUAAGUAGAUGCAAUUGCAAAGCAAAGAUUGUGGUUGUGAAGACAAAUGGGAGCAAGAAGUAUACCAUUUCUCUUUUUGCAGAGGGACACAAUCAUAAGAUGACACCCUCAGAAAGAAUGCAUUUAUUGAGAUCACACCGUCAUAUUUCAGAUUCUACAAAAGUACUCACAAAACAGUUGGGUUCAGUUAAUAUUCCCAUUCAUCAGAAGGUAAGUAUAUUCGAGGUGCAAUCCGGAGGAAUGGAUAAAAUCGGUUUUAUCAAAAAAGAUAUCUACAAUCUUGAAUGUAGUGUGAAUGGGAAGCUGAGGAACCACGAUGUUGAACUAGUGACCGAGUAUUUUAUGGCUGAACAGAAAAAAAAUGAGGCUUUUUAUUUCAAGAUUGAGGGAGAUGGGCAUGACAGGUUUAGUCGAUGUUUUUGGGCAGAUGCAACUUCUAGACGGGCGUAUGGGUUUUAUGGAGAUGUUGUUGUAUUCGAUACCACAUUCAACACGAAUCGAUACGACUUGACAUUUGCACCAAUGUUGGGAGUUAAUAACCAUGGUCAGACAAUUGUCUUAGCAUGCGCAUUUUUGAGCAAGGAAACGACUGAGUCGUUUGUUUGGAUGUUUGAGGAGUUUAAGAAAGCCAUGCCAGGUGGGGAACCUAAAACGAUCAUUACAGAUCAAGAUGCGGCAAUGGCCAUAGCGAUUUCAAUAGCCUUCCCGAGUACAUUUCAUCGACUUUGCAUAUGGCACAUCACAUCAAAGUUCUCUGUUAAGUUACCACGUGACGCUUAUAAGGAGUAUUGGCCUGAAUUUCAGAAAGCCAUAUGGGAUACUGACAAUAAGGAUGAGUUUGAUGCAAAAUGGAAUAUUGUGGUUAUAAAGGCUGGUUUGACUGACCAUCCAUGGCUAAGUUCAAUGUUUGAUUUAAGGGAAUCUUGGGUUCCAGCCUACGCACGACAAUUUUUUGCCGCUGGAAUGUCAAGCAGCCAAAGAGCGGAAGGUUCUCAUGGUUUUUUCAAGCAAUACAUAUCAAGGAGAAAUUCGUUGAUGGAUUUCAUAAUACGAUUUGAGAGGGCAUUUUCUCAUCAACGUGAAAAAGAGUUAGUUGCUGAUCACGUAGAUGCAUUUGAAGUGGCUCAAUGUCUUCUACCGAUGCCAAUGAACAAACAAAUGGCUACCUUGUACACAAGGACAAUGUUUCAAAAGUUUGAGCAAGAACUAAUACAAAGUACAGCAUGUUUCCUAGAGCUCAAAACAGAGGAUGCAUGUAAAGUUGUGUUCAACGUGAGCGAAAGGAAAAAUUGGGAAACAAGAGUGGCAGAAGUCGUAUAUGUCAAAGAUUCUGACCACGCAUCGUGUAGCUGCAAAAGAUUUGAAUUUGUUGGAAUUAUUUGCAAGCACAUCCUAGCAUUGUUCAGAAGGGACCAGAUUGAAUAUAUGCCCGAUAAAUAUAUUUUGAAGAGGUGGAAGAAAACUGCGAAAUGUGGAUUGGUGUCAGAUGCAAAUGGCAACGAAAUUAAAGACUGUGCAGAUCCUGGCCUUCUAAUAAAGCGGAGUACAAUGUCUCGACUUGCUUCAAAUGUGGUUGAGGAUGCAUUAAUGAGUGAAGAAGGAUGUGAGCUACUGUCAGAGACUCUAAAAAGUUUGCAGGUGAAGUUGAAGUUGCUGAAGGAUGGACCAAGUAAUAACGAAGUUGGAGGGUCCAGCUCUCAAACACAAUAUAUGAAAGACCCUAAGAGAGUGAGGUGCAAAGGAAGGUCGAAAGGAAUAACGGGAGCAAAGGAAAAGGCAAUGAAGCGAGGGAUUAGACACUGUCGGGAGUGUGGACACAUUGGUCAUGAUAGAAGACAAUGCCCAGCCUUGAACACACCGUAAGAUGCUACCACUAUUUGUAAUAAUAUCUAAAAUAUGAAAAGGUAAAAUUUUUAUGUGCUUGUGUUUGAUGUUUAUGCAGGACAUCACCGUCGAACAAUGACAAAUCAACUCCAAUACAUCGUAGUGACCCAUUAUUCGACGAUUUUGACAAGAUGCACAGACCAACUGAAUGAUUGAUAUUUGUAUUAGACGAAAUGUGGUUGUUAUGAAGAUUAAUGAUCAAGUGAAGUUUUAUAGAUUCAGUUUUUGAAUGUUAUUGUGUUUUUGUUCAUGUCCACCGAUGAGCUCUUACUAUGUCCACUGGUAAUUGAAAUGAAAAUUUUCUUGGUUUCAUUCUUCCAAGACAUUUGGAGACAUGUUAAUUUUACGUCUUCUCCCUAUUUAUAAAUUUUCAUAGACAUUUGAUCAAGUUUGAAAUUUGUAGUUAUGUGAAGAAGCAAUGACUCUUACCAUGUAAAAUGGGCAGUUUAGGGUGAAAUUUGUUUUAACAGAGAUUCAUUUUUCAAUUCCUCAGGGUAAUGCAGCAAUUACAGCAGCCAGCUGUUGUUUCCAUUACCAGUAAUCAUUUCCAGCAGCAGCCACUUUUUCCGACUGGUUAUUAGGGGCACGAUUUUGUACACUUUUGUAAGUGAAGGAUACUCGAAGCACUUUGUUGGAACAGAGCAAAUAGAAACCAGCGGGUAAAAAAAAAACAUAACAUUGCAGCUAAUUACAUUUCGAUACAUAGGUGAAAAAUAUUAAAGGGUACACUAACUUACAUAAAUACUCAUAAUUCCACACACAAAAGAACAUUUGAUUGCAAAACAUAUUAUGUGCUUCCUCAUAGCAAUACCACGAUCUCCCCAACCAACUGAACAACGGUAGCCACAAUCACUGGGUCGUACUCGUCAGCUUCUUCUUAGCAGGUCUCACAUGCUUAUGGCCACUCAUAUCCCUAGUGAUAUACACGAAAUAAAUCUUCAGCAAUAUUUGGAAUUUUAUUAUAUAUAAAUAAACCAUAAACCAUUCAGUAAACAAUGUAUAGCACAUGUUAUGUAACUUAUGACUCACGUGUCAGUUUUUUUUUUAACACAUUAGUACUCCAGCUCUUUAAUGUAAAUGGACAUGAUAAGGAGCAUUUACUGAUUCCCGGCUUUCUAUGAUAUUGACUGCUUCUUGAAUAAUAUUUCCAUAUUUGCAAAAUAUAAUGUUAGACAUUAUAACACAUGAUGACUUGCAAUACAUAGUCCCAAUAAUUAUAUAUCAAGCAAAUGAAACUGAUAUUUGUGUUAUUUUAAGUUAGAUAAUGACAUUAAGGGAGUAUAUGUGCAAUACCACGGUCACCCUCAACCAACUGAACAGCGGUAGCCGCAAUCACUUAGUCGUAUCGGUCGGCUUCUUCCGAGCAGCUUUGACGUGCUUAUGCUCAUUCAUGUCACCCCCAUCGUCUAGUAUCUCUCUCACAGCAUCAGGGGACACAUAGUUCCAAUCAUAACUUGUAUGAGUAGUUGCCGCAAAUGCUCGGAAUUUGUCGAAUCCUUCGUUGAAUGCCAACUCCAGUUCAGUAUGGUGCUCUUCGCAUCGCAUAUGGUUCAUCAAACAACCUUUGAUUUCAUCAUUCAUUACUGUAUCCAACUCCUCAGCUUUCAGCUUCCUGCUAUGACUCAGCUUCAAGUACUUGUUCUUUUGGGAUAACGCUUUGUUCACCCUAAUGUUAAGAUCAGCCAAAAUUGCCUCGUCUUCAACACAUUUCUCGUGCCAUGAAUUGAUCAGUCUGGAAUUAUAAUCCAGCUUGCCACUGACUGCAUGUAUUGCCUGUAAUGGAUCAUCGGAGUCCCCCUCACUCCCAAAUGAUGUUGAAAAAGGAAGGGGUCGGCGAGUACAAUGUGGAAAUAGAACCUGCCACUCCAAUUUGUCAUCUUCGAUUGUGUUGUUGGCGCCUGAAGAGGUUGACAUGCUUGAAUAAUCCUCUUUGUUUUGGGAGGAUGAGGAUUGCAUAUGCAAUUUCGUUUGAGAAAGGGAACAUAGGUUUAUAGACCAACAUACCAAAGCUUGUGUGUAGUCAACAUAUGUACUUUUUGGCGGGAAUUUUUUAAAAAUAGGUGUUAGGUUUUGCUUUUCAAGCAUGUCAACCUCACACUCUCCUGACACCACUGCUAGUGGUUGAAACAAAGUCAAUGGAAGUGACAUCUACUUAGUUAACUCAACCAAACUAGUUAGGAUUAAACUUAGAUUGUAUCAGACCAAAAAAUAAUUUCUACUUUGUCAACCAAAUAUUUUUUGGCGGGAACCCUUUUCUUGGUAUUACUAUCACCCCUUUCAUAUAAAAUCUCCUUCCACACAAAACUCACUCCUCCACCGAAUCUGUCUCCAUCUACCGAUACUCUCUCAAGCAAACAAACUCAUUCCCCCCAAAGAAUGAGCAUAAGCACAACCAAGUUUGAUGUGAGCAUAAUAAACACCCCUCCAAACAAAGACCGGCUUCGACACGCAAGUGAGUCACCGGACAAGCAAUGUCACAUUGCUAGACAGAAUGACCAUUUUGUUGGAAGUUUUGAGUCUGAAAGAGUUGUUGCUUUUUGGAAGGAGAGGCAUCUUCAACUUGGUGAUGAAAUCCAAAGGGCAAGGGCACGUUUGGAAUUUGUGGAAGGCCAAAUUGAAGAUGACAAAAGGCAGGCCAAUCUGGAUAGGGCGAAGUUGUAGCGCAUGAAGCGUAGACACAAACGACUUCGGAGUGUAGCUGUUCAAAAAUACAAGAACUCAUCUAAUGUAGUGGAGUCAAAGAAGCGUGUGAUGCAAGCUGGAUUCGACUACUUCCGAUCCUAUGCAAAACUCGUCGUACCCGGGUUUGAUUGGUCAUCUAUUACCGUUUCCGACGUCACCAAAUAUACUCAGCAAGGGAAGUAACCAUUUUGGUUCUCGUGUUUUAGCAGAGGCAAAUAAGUGGAAUUGGAAUUUUGGUUACACUCUGCUUCAAAGCUAUUUUGAUGCUAACUACUAUGGAAGAUUUAAACCUUAAUAUUUUGAUGUCUUUAAUUACGAAAACAGAAGAUGCAAAGAGCUCAUCUACUUCAGCCAUAUGUUGCUGCCAUGUCCAUUUGUUUUUGAUCACUUAUCAGAUUUGGACAUGGUUGCAUCAUAUGCAAUGUUGCCUUUAUUUAUUAUAUGUUAGGACAAGGUUUAUGGAAAAGCUUUUGUGAGUGCGUUUGUGACAAGGUUAUGGAAUUAUUAUGUACACUUUAUAUAUUGUUUUUUGUACUGGUUCAUUUCCUACUAUUUCUUGCUUUCUUUAUAUUUUAUGUUUGUGGAAUCCCUCUCAAAGUUAACAUAUACUGUGAAAAAAAUAUUAUGCAACUGAUUAUAUAAUCACUCAUAUAGACUAGGACAAAUAUUCACUAAGGGUUUUAAACUUGCUUCACUUGUGUGAUGUUAUUGACAAAAAGUAUGGCAUUAUUUAUGUGAUUUGACAUGAUUGAAAAUAUAUUACUGAUUCCCAAUGCGGCGUCAUAUGGACAACGUAUUGAAUACCUGUGACGUGUUAAUAACUCAAGGUGCAGUUGCAUGUGGACAACUUCUUGAAUACCUCUGACGUGUUGAAAACUCUAGGUGCAGUUGCAUGUGGACAACUUAUUGAAUACGAACUGACGUCUUCAAAGCUCUAGGCGUAGUUGCAAUGAUGGCUUCAAAGCAUGUGCAAUUAUUUUUUAUGUACAUUAUUAUAACAAAACAUAUUAUUGUAUAUAGUGAAACUAAAUAUUGUAUUAUUAGAAAUUAUAUUUCGAAUAUUAUCCGAAAUAUACGUGUUAACGUGAAUUUGGGUUAAGAGGAAAGUGAGUUAUGUACAAAUAAUUUUCAUUUUCUCAUUUUCCGGGCAUUUUUUGGAUUUUCGUAGAAUUUAUUACCUAUGUCCACAGAUUGUUGCACUAAAAAAGCCAAAAUAAUAGCAAGAGGACACCUGGAGCGAUCUCAGCCCGUCACUGAUGACUACUUGCACAAGUGUACGUCAGUCAACAUGGCCACACCCUCCCAUUUUACCCUAAAUUAUUAUUUUAUUACUUUUCCUUACAAAAAUCAGAACUAAUUACACACAAAAUAAAAAAAUUAUCCGAAAAUUGCUACGAACUCAUUGACACUCCAUCUCCGUUGCUGAAUUCUCCGAUUCAUUGUUACGUAUUUGUAAAAUUAAUUCCCAACAUUAACGGGAGAUGCUUGUUGAAGUAGGUUAUUCAAGUUGAAGUUAACAAACAUCAAUACUUAGGGUUAAGAGGAAAGUGAGUUAUGUAACACAAUUUGGAUUAUUUCAUUGCGAGACGAAUGAUUUAUAGGUUCUCCUAGUUUUAUGACGUCACAAGUAGGCCGGAGUAAUUUUUGGGGCAUUUUUACGAUUUUCCUACUAUUUUUUACCUAGUUUCAAAGAUUUUUGAACAAAAGAAUCCAAAAUGUAAAAGAAGAUGACACCUGGCGCGAUCUCAGCCCGUCACUUUUCACUACUUGCACAAGUGUACGUCAGUCAACAUGGCCACAUCCUCUCAUUUUACCCUAAAUUAUUAUUUUAUUACGUUUUGUCUUGGAAAAUUCAUAACUAAAUACACAAAAAUUCAAAAUUAUUUCUGAAAAUUGCUACGAACUCAUUGACACUCCAUCUCCGUUGCUGAAUUCUCCGAUUCAUUGUUACGCAUUUUUAAAAUUAAUUCCCAACAUUAACGGGAGAUGCUUGUUGAAGUAGGUUAUUCAAGUUGAAGUUAACAAACAUCAAUACUUAGGGUUAAGAGGAAAGUGAGUUAUGUAACACAAUUUGGAUUAUUUCAUUGUGAGACGAAUGAUUUAUAGGUUCUCCUAGUUUUAUGACGUCACAAGUAGGCCGGAGUAAUUUUUGGGCCAUUUUUACGAUUUUCCUACUAUUUAUUACCUAGUUUCAAAGAUUUUUGAACAAAAGAAUCCAAAAUUAACAAGAAUAUGACACCUGGCGCGAUCUCAGCCAGUCACUUUUGACUACUUGCACAAGUGUACGUUACCGAACAUGGCCACAUCCUCCCAUUUUACCCUAAAUUAUUAUUUUAUUACCUUUUUUCUUGGAAAAUUCAUAACUAAAUACACAAAAAUUAGAAAAACGAUCCGAAAAUUUCUACGAACUUAUUGCGAUUUCAUCUUCCUACUGCAUUCCCUGUUUAAUGGUUAUGCUACAUUAGUAUUUUAUUAUUAUUUAUCCACAAUUAUUAUAAUUAUUAUGAUAUUACUUUUUAGGCUGUCCAUUUGUUAAUUAUACCACAUCCAACUUGUUGAAAACAAUUUUAUUUUCCGUGCGAAUAGGCCAUUUGUAGUGCUUAUCGGUUUCUCUGUUCUUCAAUUUGUUAAUUUUUUUAUUUUUUAGGUUGAAGGGAUGUUUUGAAACAUAAUAUGGAAAUAUACAAGUCAUCCAUUGUACUCCUUCCACACAAAAAAAUAGUCUACGUCAUUCACUGUUCAACACCCUAGGUUAAGACACGUGUAACCAAAUCCGUUCGGAUAUGCUAAGUGGGAAAAUGUCAUUCCCAAGCACUGGUGAAAAGACACUUAUUUACUCCAUGCAUGACUUUUGGUUUACCAAAUAUGAAGAUUGGGGUCGGUGAGCAAAAUAUCUGUGUCAGUAAAAUGUCAUUCCUAGCCAUCUAUGAUGUAAGUAAUAAUUCCGCUAUAUAAUAAAUAUUAUACAUUUAUAUAUAAAACGGUUUAUGACAAAAUACCAACAUUUGAACAACAUUUAAACUGAGAUAGGUAUAACGUAGCCAGCCAACCUAGAAGUGAAGAGAAGCAAGUCCACAAUGCAUCAAAACUGUAAAUUCGUACUAAAACUAAUGCAAAAAUACGUGAUUCCCUCGCACAACUUACUCACGCAGGAUUUUGCACCAAAAAAUACUCUCACGGUGCCAUUUGCAUCGGUUGCAGCAAGUCCAAAACGCAGGAUUUAUCUUGUCUUCACUAGGCCACCCUGGAAUAACAAAAUACCAUUCAUUGUUGUUACAAGCGCUGCACCGAUUGAACUUAAUCUUCCCAUAGUCAAACAUAUCUACGAUAUGUCUUGCAACAAAUGCUCCGCGACAUCUUCCUGUUAAAGCAUCCCUGGUUCCUUUCAUAUCAAUGUUGUUACGUUGAUUCAAAGAACACAAGAAUUGUAAUGCAUCCUCUUUUGACUGACCAAUUCCGGACAUACCAAGUAGUCCAACUACAUAUGCCGCUUCCAUAUGGCCUGCCGUGGCUGCAAUGCGCAUCCCAUACAACGCUUCCACCUUACCGUCUGUGAAAAAACCUUCGAAUGCUUCUCUAAAUAUGGACUCAGGGUUAUCGCAAGCCCUGCAUUGUUGCAAGAAAUGCUGGACUGCAGGUUUGGCACGGUAGCAGAUAGGAUGGUGUGGGUACUUUGCCAUUGAAAUGGUGUUCCACACUUGUGGACUGUUUGCCAAAAUGUUGAACAAUCGGCACACACAUGCCAUACGGAAGAGAUCUUCCGAUGAUUCGGUUGCCACGUAUAACAUCACUUGAAACCAAGCGGACUCCGGGAUAAAGGCUUCGGGCAUAUCGAAAUGGAGAUGCUUCCUUCUCUUUCCUCCGACUGUAGUGAAGUGUUUCGAAUUCAUUGAAAAGUUUUUGGAAUGGAACGAUUUGAGGAGUGGCAGAGGGGAUAAAUGAUAAUAUUUGGGGUACACGUUCUACUUCCGAGCCUCUGUUUAUAGUGUUUUGAAAAGGUGUUUCCAGUUGGGGUUUUUCCAAGUUGACCCUUUUGAAAGAAACUGAAUCCAAGUGAAUUAAAACUUAAGACAAAAGAAGGGAAAACGUCAUAACGGUGCAUACAGAGUCAGACAGUUAAAAAGUUAAUUAAAUGGCUAUUUGCAUAGCCAUUUUUGGGUUUAUCCCACUAUCAAAUUCAUUGAUACAAAUGUGAUGGAUUACUGACUAGUGACAGAAGGUCCCAUCAUAUACUUUUUCAUUUUCGCACACCCAACUAUCCCUAGUAAUGUUAUUAAAAUGGAACCAAUAAUGACGGAUUCUUAUCCAACUAGUUGCCUUAAUGAAAUAUAAAUAAAUUAAUAAAAUUGAAGCAGUGUCCCGUCAUUAGUCAGAAAAUAUAUUUGGUAGUGAAGUAGUUUCUAUUGCUUUUCGGGCUAAAAGAUGUCACAAUGCUGACGGUACAGGUGUCGACAUCGUGACCAACCCACCAAAUGAUCCCAAAAAAAAGUAAUAUAACUCGAUUUGGGCAGAGAUGAGAGAGAGCUGAGUGACAAGUUUAGGGUUAUGAGUGAAGGGGUAUGAAUGACAACUAUGAGUGAGAAGGUAUGAGUCCGAAGAGGUUUCAGUGAGAAGAUUUGAGUGAGAAGAGGUACAACUGAGAAGAUUCAACAUGUCUUCGUCUUCAUCUCCUGCUCAAACAAAGAGGUGUCAGUAUUGUGGAGCUACAAUGGUGCUUCGGGUUUCAAAAUCUGAAAAAAAAUCGAGGGAAGCCAUUCUGGAAGUGUCUAACCUCCUAUGUAAGUUUUAAUUUAAAGAAUAUGUAUGUGGGUGAAAAAAAACCUAUGUCUAACUCUGACAGAAUUAUAUUCCAUAUAUGAUGCCUGCAAUUAGGGAGCCACCAGUUGCAAUGGAUUCGAAUGGGUUGAUGUAACCUCCGCUGAAGCAGAACAUCAAGAUGACACGUAUGAUGUUAGAGUGCUGAACAUGCUGAAGUCCAUUAAGGACUUGGUAUUAGUUUUAUUAGUUGUAUUAAUUGUCAUUUUAUUUGUUCUUUUAAUGAUCAUUUAACUGCACGGUUUAAAAGAUUGUGAAAGUUCUCUCGCACAAGACAUAUUGCACGCACCACCAAUGAGACCCUAAACCCAUUUUGUAAUAUUUGGUAACUGCAUGUAUUUCGCAUGUUAUUGAAUGUUUAUUGAAGGUUUAUUGAUAGUUUGCUGCAUGUAUAUGGAAUAUCAUUGCCCCAAAAUUGGAUGUUUAUUGGGGCCACAAGUAUCACUCAAGUAAGAAUGAAGGGGAGAAACGGACCUUAUUCUUUCUUAUAGUAGGAAGAACAACUGUUAAGUUUAAUAUCCUAUUCAAUACGACUUCCCUAUGGUUGGUGUACUUGGGGACUGAAGUAUAUUGCAUCAUUAUUGUGGGCAAGGGCAUGUCUAUUGUGUGUGUUAAGGGAGUAUUGUGUGGGCAAGGGCAUGUCUACUGUGUGUAUAUUGCAUGUCUACUGUGUGUAUAUUGCAUAUCUAUUCUCUGUAUAUGGCAGGCCAAGUUUGUGUAUAUUGUUUGUCUGUUGUGUGUGUAUUGCUUGUCGGUGCGUUUGUGAAUUGUGGUUCAUUUUGUGUAUAUUGUCUUUGUUUCUACUUUUAUGCUACUGAGCUGCGGAAAACCUCGCAUGUUUAGACACCUAUUAUGAUGCAACACAUUGCGAUUAAUGGUGGCUUGCAUCAACAAUGACAUAUCACUUUGCAAUGAUGUAAUACACUUAAAAAGCCGUCUUCAAAUCCCAAUUCACAUAUGCAGUCUUAAAAUUCUAAUUCAAUGCAGUUUGGUUAACAAACAUGUAAAUGUCAUGAAGGAGUUAGCGGUAGAAUUCGAUAAGGACCCGUACGUCUCUAUUGUGUAUUUACAUUAGUUUGAGAAUGGACAUUCCCAAAACCUUCUCAUGUACCAUUUGUCAUCUUCAACCAAUAUCAUGGGAAGUAAGCAUCUCCCCUUGUUAUCUCCGCAGCCAAUUUCAACCGAAAAAAAGGCAUGUUGUGCGAGGUGCAAGUAGCUAACGGAAGCUUAGCGCUGAAAAGCUCAAUGUACUUUAACACAAACAUGCCACAAUCGCCUCUGAAGCAAAACAAGAACUCGAUCAAUUCAACUAAUGACAUUCUAAUGUAAUUGACAAUUGAAAGUAAUAAAAUUAAAUUGCAAGUUGUGCUUACUCAUUAGACUGUUGUGGAACAUCCACACGCUCUAUUGGCCACGGACACCACCAAUCUCGGCUGCAAUUGUUUGCAUAAACACCUUCUUCAUAAAAGUCGAUGGUGUUGAGAAGAUUUGGAAGCGUAAUUGAUAGCGGGCCGAGUUCUUCCUUUACGAUGUCAUCUGGAAUUAGUGAAACCUUUGAAUCGUACACUUUGAUUCACACAAUACCAGAUCAAACANNNNNNNNNNNNNNNNNNNNNNNNNNNNNNNNNNNNNNNNNNNNNNNNNNNNNNNNNNNNNNNNNNNNNNNNNNNNNNNNNNNNNNNNNNNNNNNNNNNNNNNNNNNNNNNNNNNNNNNNNNNNNNNNNNNNNNNNNNNNNNNNNNNNNNNNNNNNNNNNNNNNNNNNNNNNNNNNNNNNNNNNNNNNNNNNNNNNNNNNNNNNNNNNNNNNNNNNNNNNNNNNNNNNNNNNNNNNNNNNNNNNNNNNNNNNNNNNNNNNNNNNNNNNNNNNNNNNNNNNNNNNNNNNNNNNNNNNNNNNNNNNNNNNNNNNNNNNNNNNNNNNNNNNNNNNNNNNNNNNNNNNNNNNNNNNNNNNNNNNNNNNNNNNNNNNNNNNNNNNNNNNNNNNNNNNNNNNNNNNNNNNNNNNNNNNNNNNNNNNNNNNNNNNNNNNNNNNNNNNNNNNNNNNNNNNNNNNNNNNNNNNNNNNNNNNNNNNNNNNNNNNNNNNNNNNNNNNNNNNNNNNNNNNNNNNNNNNNNNNNNNNNNNNNNNNNNNNNNNNNNNNNNNNNNNNNNNNNNNNNNNNNNNNNNNNNNNNNNNNNNNNNNNNNNNNNNNNNNNNNNNNNNNNNNNNNNNNNNNNNNNNNNNNNNNNNNNNNNNNNNNNNNNNNNNNNNNNNNNNNNNNNNNNNNNNNNNNNNNNNNNNNNNNNNNNNNNNNNNNNNNNNNNNNNNNNNNNNNNNNNNNNNNNNNNNNNNNNNNNNNNNNNNNNNNNNNNNNNNNNNNNNNNNNNNNNNNNNNNNNNNNNNNNNNNNNNNNNNNNNNNNNNNNNNNNNNNNNNNNNNNNNNNNNNNNNNNNNNNNNNNNNNNNNNNNNNNNNNNNNNNNNNNNNNNNNNNNNNNNNNNNNNNNNNNNNNNNNNNNNNNNNNNNNNNNNNNNNNNNNNNNNNNNNNNNNNNNNNNNNNNNNNNNNNNNNNNNNNNNNNNNNNNNNNNNNNNNNNNNNNNNNNNNNNNNNNNNNNNNNNNNNNNNNNNNNNNNNNNNNNNNNNNNNNNNNNNNNNNNNNNNNNNNNNNNNNNNNNNNNNNNNNNNNNNNNNNNNNNNNNNNNNNNNNNNNNNNNNNNNNNNNNNNNNNNNNNNNNNNNNNNNNNNNNNNNNNNNNNNNNNNNNNNNNNNNNNNNNNNNNNNNNNNNNNNNNNNNNNNNNNNNNNNNNNNNNNNNUUUUCCUCUCCCUCAUCUCUAUUAUUUGGCCCUUCACCCCCUUCAAUCCCUUCAUCUUCUUUUUCCUCUCCCUCAUUUCUGUUACUUGGCCCUUCAUCCCAUUGAAUGUCAUCCAUUUCCCCAUAUCCCUUAAAUAGAUGUGAGACGACACAACGAUUCGUCCUCUGUUUCAGUAAAGCUAGGUCCCUCCUUACUUCCUGCUCAAACUGAGGACCUAAACAUUGGUCCAAUAGUUUUUCCAUCCGUAUGACCUUUAAGUGAAGGACGUCUUUUUCCCGCUUUUCUUGAAACAACUCGGACCUCAACAAGCUUACCACCUUGUUCAACUCAUCAAGAUCACCACAUGAAGAAGGAAUUGACUCUGCCGAGACAACAGCAGGGCGAUCCUGUGGCCAACUCCAAUAUGGCUGUCUCAUUUCCUCUUCACUUAGACAUAGCGCCCGCAACUGAACUGACUGUUUCAGAAUACAGACAAGAGUCAUAUUAAAUCAUUCUACUUCAUAAUUUCAUUCAAUCUUAUCAAUAGUUCUAAGGGCUGCAAACCAAACCUCUUUGCUCUGGAAAAAAUAAUUGUUCAACUUUCUCAUCUCUGGAACAGACGUAGUAGUUCUCCAUCGCAAAAUACGCGGGACAGCGGUCGGAUCAACAACCUUGCAGUAAUUCAGGUCCGCCAUUCUAGGAAUUAAUUCAUAUACCCAAAUCUACACAAUUCACAGGACAAAAGUCAUUAUUUAUGUUUUAAAGAAAAACAAAACAUAACUGACAUGAACAUUAUUACCAUGUACCUGGAAAGCAUACGUGAAACCUUUAAAACUCCAGCCACUCCUUUGCGCUUCACUAUGCUUAUCCUUCUUGCCCUUCUCAUUUCUCCGGCUUGUUCCCGUUACCUUACUUUUCCCCUUCCCUCUUCCCUCUUCAUUUUCCAAGCUUUUCACAUACUUUGUUGGUGCAGAAAAUAGACUGUCUUGGGUUUUGUCAAAGGACACCGAACCCCACGGAUACCUGUUGAACGCAUCCAAGUCCUCUACAAGGGUCAGGUAAUUUAGAUUGAUGUUCAAAUGUUUGUCCCUUCCCAAAACCACUAACUCAGCAAAGUAAACAAGAGGUAGCUUGAAGAUGUCAUCUUCCUCUGUGCACCUCACAAAUGCUUCUUCUAAAGCAUUGCAUGUAAUUCCUUCGUCUAUAAAAUAUCUUUUCUGAAGUCUGAUUUCAUUACUCUCUCCACUGGAAACUUCAGGCACUUCCCCAAAACGAAGCCCUGUGAUCAAACAGAAAUCCUGACGAGUGAACUGAGCAACGUCACACCCUAAUAAGAAACUCAGUCCAUCCAAGUCUUUCACACCCUGCCCCGCUACUCUACGCAACACAACCCCAUGCACAAUCUGUCCGCUAAACUGAAUCUUAUCUAUAUUCAGAAGAUGGCCAAAGCAUGAUGUCUUGAAUUGUUCUAAUUGUUCCGCACUCAACUUCGCUCGAAUUGCAGCUAGAGAUGAAUUUGCAUGUGAGCAGUUGUUCACCCGUGAUGAAUAUACCUCUGCCUCUGGCCAUACCAGCUCCACGUUGGAUCCCAUUUCCUCAAAUACAAUGUGAAAUAACGUGAACAUAUAUACUACCACGUAUUUGCACAAUCACAACUAGUCAACCAGGCACAUUACAACUUUUACAAAGUACAUGAGCAUAUGGAUUACUCAUCACAGGCUUUAACAUCAUCAAAGCAAUAUGACAAUUUUUGUGCAAAUACCUGUUAAUGCAAUGAUUAUGUGAAUUACAAACAAUUUCACGUGUUUUAUUUAUGGAUCCAUACUCGUGUGAGUGCAAUGUAGGCAAGUUCUGCACUUCACACACAUGACAAUUAUUGUCAUCUCAUACACAACCCAAAAUAAAUAAAUAAGAAAUAUAGUGGAAGGAAGCAAAGCAAAGCAUGUACUCUGCUAUCUGCUUGCUAAGCAAUUGCCACAUCCUUCUUUCUUUCUACCUUUUUCUUCAGUCACCCACAAUCGUCAUAGAUCAACCUUCAUUUCAAAUGCUUUGCACUUUUAUUCAUGAGUUUAUUAUUAUCUGUUCUCAUUUCUCAUAGGCAAAUUUAGUAACAAAUGAAAUAAUAUUUAUUUCACAAAAUAUAUAAAUUCUAGUGCCAGAGAGGUACUCUUCACUCUGCACUGCUUCAAAUGUGGAAGGUUUUGAGAUGUUAUUGACAUGUGAUUGACUUUAUUUUCAUUCGUUUUUUAACAUAUACCCAAGCAAAAAUUAACAUGCAAUUGAAGCACAAAUAAGAGAUGCCAAAUCCAACAACAUUGAUGGUACAAAUUGGGGAAAACCAUUACUCUAACCCUAAACUCAAAUUCCUUACAUUACUCAUCAAAUGCUUUGCAGUUCUAUUCAUGAGUUUAUUAUUAUCUGUUCAAAUGUUUCUCAGGCAAAUUUAGUAACAAAGGAAAUCAUAUUUACUUCAUAAAAUAUAUAUAUAUAUAUAUAUAUUCUAGCGCCUCUUCUUAAUCUGCACUAUGCACUGCUUCAAAUGUGGAAGGUUUUGAGGGCCUCCUCCAAUUCAACACCAUUAUCUUAUUCAUAUCAUUAUUGACAUGUUAUUCACUUGUUAUUGACUUCAUUUUCAUUCUUUUUUUAACAUAUACCUAAGCAAAAAUUAACAUGCAACUGAAGCACAACGAAGAGAUGCCAAAUCCAACAAAAUUUAUGGUACAAAUUGGGGAAAACCAUUACUCUAACCCUAAACUCAAAUUCCAUAAAUUACUCACCAAAUGCUGGUUAUUGCAAGGUGUCUGUGUGGGGUCUUUCUGUUUCUUUGCUCCACAAAUGGAACCUACCACUUCCAACGAAUACAGCUUUUCCCCUUCCCCUUCCACUGCUUCGCCUCUUCACUGAUUUGGAAUCCACACCUUUGCCCCUUCUACUCCAAAUAAAUACUUUCUCGGGGUCUGGAGAACGGAGUGGCGAAUCGUUGCCUUCAACUGUCGUUAGCCGUUGCCUUCAUUGGGUAUCUCAGACCUCUGUGUUUUAGAGAGAUGAGUUCUUUCUGUUCAAACUUCGAACUUGCCUCUUCUUCUUCUUUUUCGGACGUGUUUCCCUCUUCUUCUUCUUUUUGGACGUGCUGGAUAUUCAAUUCGGGUUUGGGUUCCUUACCUACCCAAUUGUGAAACUUUAACUCAAUUCUCCCCAGCCCUUGGAUUAAUCUGAUGGCUAUAAAGUGAACCCCUUAUAACUUACCCCUUAUAACUUUCCACUCAUUAUAGUCUUGGCCAGGUAUGGCGGCCAUGCUAGUAAGUGUUGGGUCUUUGACCCAACUUAAGCUAAAUGGGUCAUAAGAUGACCGAUCAUCUUAUCUCAUAAGGAUAUAUAAGUCAUGUUAUGAUUUAGGAUUUUAUAGGGUUUCCUUUGUAAGAGGUAAGAGAGAAACAAGCUCUCUCUCUCUCUACACAAGGAGGUCAGCCAUAGCAAGGGAAAGGCUCCUAGCACUCUCCUCUCUCUUAUUAUAUCAUCCUUCCAAGGACAGCUUUGGUAUGGUAAAGUUGGAGGUUGCACACUUUGUGCACUUUGGUAAGAACUCAUCCAAGGGAGCCAAGAUUAAAUUGGUUAGCUGUUGGAUUAAAUUGGUUAGCACGAUUCAACGGUUAAUAGAUAAAACUUCACAUAAAAGUCAUAUAUAAGGCCCUCACUAUAGAAUGACUCGUUAGUUUAGUCUCUUGUUACAUAUCAAAUGUUAGAGAUAUUUUUUAAUAAGGAUCUGCCAUACCACAUAGUUGGAUAAGACAUUAUACACGGCUUUUGUAAGAGCAUCUCCAGCGCUCCAAACUAGCCCAAGCAGCAGGGGGGCCUAAGUCUAGGAAGCAGCUCCAGCUCGCAAGAUUCAACCCAGGCAAGGUGUGGAACCCACGAGGAGAUCUAGCCCGUCACCUUGCCUUUGGGUUUCAGUCAAGCUGAUGUCAACGAAAGAAUUUCAAAUUUUUUUUACCGUUACAAUGUACGCGCCAACGAUAAAUUUUCUUUGGAUUUCUUGCAUUGAUCCACAGCUACCAAAAACCAACAGCUACAAGCCACGUGGCUUCUCCAGGAGCCUCCGAUCCAAAAAUCAUGUCAAAUCUAACGGCAGUCCAUUUUUUGGCUAAAAAUAUCAAAAAAUUAUGGAAACAUGUUCUAUAAAUUCCUACAAAUAUUAUUCACUUCCCACACCAAAUCUUCAUACAAAUUCAUAUCCUUUCAAUAUUUUUCACUUUCCAUACAAGAUUUUCUACUACUAAGUUUCGUUUGUGUAAAAAUACAAAUGACCUCUUCUAUCGAAGCCGGAGGCGCGUGUACAACCGUGGAAGAUAUUUUGUUGCGUGAGUGUUGGGUCAAAGUUGGUCAUUCCCUGAUCACGGGCAAUGAGAUGAAGUCCUCUCGUAGGAGUUUCUGACAUCGCAACGAAAGUAAGAUGUGAUAUGAAAAUGUAAGGAAUUUGAUGAGAGGAAUGGGAUUUGAGGAGUUUGAUGUAGGAAUUGAUGUAGGAAUUGAAUUUGGGAGGUAUGUAUAUAAGAUUUGAGGGUAUGUGUUUAGGGAUUUUGAUAAGAGGAUUUGAGGAAUUUAGAUUUGAAGGAUUUGGAUUUGGGGAAUUUAAAUAUGAGGAAUUUGAUUAGGGUUUGGGUUUGAAUAUGUGAAAUUUGAUAUGAGAGUUUAGAGACAACAGAUGAUCGAUUGCUCUGAUACCAUGCUAAAAUAUGAUAUGGUUUGAAUACUUUAGGUUGAGUUUUAUUCUUUUCCAUAAAAAGGUAUAUAUAGGAGUUUACAUGAGUGCUUUACAAAGAAAUAGAUACAAUAAUCAAUUAGGAUAAUAUCUCCUAAUUAUACAAUAAUUUGUCAACUAUAUAGAAUAGGAAAGUAAAUUCCUUAAUUAAUCAAGAAAAUAAAUCUCAUUGAUUAAUUAGGAGACUAACGUCAACAUUUAUAAGCCAUAAAAGAGCAGAAAAAGAGGUACUUAGGAGAUUUUAUACGUCGGACUAAGGUAAGCUUAAAGGACUAUAUCAAAAAAAUAAGGGACCAAGAAGCAAGACAGAGAAGUUGUUAUGCAAACCCAUUAAGUUUAGCAGUGAUGAAUUUGUAAAAAUCAUUCUAGUGGAUUCUGCCUUCACUAUUGAGUUCUUAUUGAGGUUCUAUCUGAAAGGAUCUGGACAUGAAGGAGACCGCUUAUUAAACAAACCGUGGAUGUUUACAGCCUGACAUGUGGUUGCUUGAAAAUCAGCUCCCAUUCUUUAUUCUUGAGGAUCUUUAUCACACAUACAUAAUAACCGACUCUUUUAGGAAUUAUUACAGUACUCAUGAUCAUGAGAGGCUUUCAAUAAUUAAUAUUUCUAAGAAUUUCUUCACAGCCGGAAUAUUGAAUUUGGAGGGGAAGGGAGACAAAUGGAACAGAAUAUCAUCUUCUUCUAGUGUUGGAAAUUUUAUAUUAUUUAAUAAUAUUUAAUUUCUAUUGUGAAUGAAAAAUAAGUUUCUUUAAGAAACGUGUGUCUUAGGCCAGUUUUUCUAACUGGUCGGCUUCCUUAGAUUUGUGCCUAUUGCUUUUCAAAGUAUAAUGAUGCAAUGGUUGUAUCUCGUUCAGGCAAAUGGAAGGUAUAUAGCAAUUUAUAGAACAAUACAGUAAUCCAGAAGAAAUAUUAUGAAAUGAAAAGAAUAAAAAGUAAAAAAAGAGAAAGAAAGGAAUUCCCACCUGCAAUGUAUAUGUAUGAAAGGAAGGACCAAGUUUGUUUUAAAAUGGUAAGAACAAGUUGAUUUUAAAUUGGGUUCAGAUCAACUCAUAGAUUUCUUGCCUUUUCUGUUCUCCUUCCUUGGACAUGAACUGUUUAAUCUUGGACUCUUCCCCAUCAUGUUGGGCCUGUCUUCUUCUUGAGGAUUGUAUAGGCCUAGGAAAUGCUUCGGGGUAGUUUUUGUGUUUUGGGCAUUGGGACCCAACUUCACAAAAAGAAAACAAAUUUGACCAAAACACAAAUUUGAAGGACAUUGAAAUUGUACCCGUAGGAUAGAUUAAAACACUAUAAGGGAGGUAAAUAGUACGUUUACAGAGUUUAAGUGUAAUAAAGGAAUAAAAACAUGCCCAGAGAAUUGAUAAGUGAUAUCAAUUCUUGAAUAUACGUGAAAAUUAUUUUAUGUGGUUAAACCCCACCUCUGGGGAAAAUCCACGGAACUUCUUAGUCCAACUUCUAUCACUUAUCCUAGACACAUUCUAGAUAAUGUUUGCCAACCUCUUCGUAACUCAACUUCUGUCACGAGAUGAUCUUUCAACACUUUAUGUCGAACGCAAUACUGGUCACGAUUUCUUCAAGCUCGCCGGAGUUCUUCCAAUUCUCCUUAUAUUGAAUCUGAUACUAGUCACGAUCGAUUCAAGCUCAUCGGAGAAAAAUCGCCACAACAAUCUUGGUGCCCUCAACCGUAUGAGUCACUGAACAUGCAAAUGAAUACAAUAUGAAUGAUAAAAGUGUUUGAUAAAUCACCAAGUUAUGGAACACUUGAUGAUUUAUCUCAAAUAAAAAUUCAGCUUUCCAAAGUUUAUGAAUUGAAAAUAUGACCGUUAAAGCUCUCUAAACAAAGAAGACGAAGGUCUUAUUUUAUAGACUUUUACUUUACAAGAAAGAAAACACGUUGAAAACCAAAUCUCCAAUUUCCAAGGCUUGACAGAAAAUCACAAAAUUAUCUUUCCUAUUCUAGAGAUUGGUCACAUGAAGUCCAACCAAUAGGAAAUGAGAUAUUUAAGAAAGGAAGAUUUUGAUCAAUAUCAAUAUCAAAUGAAUUCUUAUACGCCUAGUCAAUUGUUAUGGGUAUCUUGACUCCUUGAUAUUGUGAUAUGAUUGAAACAUGAUUUCCACGUUAGAAAAUUAAGGGGAUGUUAAAACAUGAAGGUAAUAGGAGAAUCAAAUUGAUUUGGGCCAAAAUUGCCUAAAAAGAAAACACUCCUUAAUAAACUUCAAUUUACUUUUAAAAAUAGUAAAACGUGAUUGAAUCGUUCUUUAAAACAAUUCCCUAAUAUACAUGCAUGAUAGUGAUAUCACUUACCUUUGAAUCAGAUGGCUUUCACGGGUCAAGCCACAAGUUUUUGUCUUGGGGAUUGCUGAGCUUCAUCAAUCCUGCCAAUGUCAAUUUUGCCCCUAAGCUCUCUCAAAGCACGUUUACAACCUAUGCUAACAUAUAUUAGAGUUUAUGUUAGUAUCAAGAAAAUGCCAACACUAAUUUCGUAACACGUAGAAAUUGUUAGAGAUUGAAGUUUUUAUCAUUUUUUCUUCCAGACUCUCCACCACUCACUAAUAUAGUUUACUCAUGUGAUGAGUUUACAAAACCUAUUUCUCUACUCUCACAAAGACUAUACUUAGGGGGGUGUAUUCAAUUAGGAUUCUAAAGCGUUUAAAAAGAUUUUGUUUAAGUGCCAGCUUUCAUAGAACUUGAUGGAACUUUAUAAUUCGUAUAGAACUUGAUAGACUUUCAGAAGACUUCUGUAUAAUUUUUUAAUAAAACUUUCUUAAGCUUUCAUAGAACUUGAUAGGCUUUCAUUCCAAACUUAUGUAGAUGGUAUAUUUCAUUUUAUCCCCAUCCUUGACAUUUAAAGAAAGAAACUUGAAUUUUUUCAAUCAAAUUUGUUUUUGUUACCAAAGCAGCAAAAACAAAAAGUACUUGUUUGCGAUGGAAGAACAUAUGCACAGUUCAAAAUGAAAAGAAUAAGAAGCAAAGUACCUAUUUGACCAAUGAAUGCUGUGUCAACUAGAGAAGCAAUUGGAUCGGCUGUCAAAGCCAAUGCUGCAGGCAAUGCAUCGAUGGUCCAAAUUGCAAUAAAAAAAUAUUUUGAAUAAUGGCUCUUGCAGACAAAGACCACAUAAAUUCUGAACUGGUCUAGCUUGAAUAAUAAGGUUAGAUUAGCCAAUUGAUGAGAUUAAAAGCAAAGCAAGUUGAUGAAUUUAUCAUCAACUAUUUAAUAACCACAGUCCUGAUCUCUUGGACCCCUGUAGUCCAAGAGAUUUAUGGUCACCCACCGUUGGAUGUAAAUUCAACGGUUGACUUGAAUCGGGUAAUAAUCAUUUAUGUCAUAUUGCAUUUAUAUAUAUCAUUUUGAACCAUUGGAUUAAUAUCCAACGGUGGGUGACCACAAUCUCUUGGACUCCUGUGGUCCAAGAGAUCGGGACUGUUAAUAACCAAUAGAGUAUUUAAACAUAAACAACAAUGUUUGAUCAACAAAACAAAUAGUCCAAAUAUCAUCCAAAAAACAAUAACAAAAAAUCAAUCAUUCCAAACAAACUAGUCAUUCUCAAAAACUCUCAAAAAACCCACUCAUUCCAAAUUGUAGGAUAUCCAAUUUGAGCACUCCUCAGGAGACAUUUUCAAAAAUGCAUCCUUUUUUGUGUUACUAUGCAACAAAGAGAGUGCUUUAUAACGAGCAUGUUCAUCCAAAUUUGGGGUCUCCUUAAUGGCAUCCCAUAUAUAACUCCGCUGCUCUCUCUCUUUUUCCCUUUUUGCCAAUAGGUUAUGGACCUCCCGGAAGUCGAUGACAAUUGAAUCAAUGCUAAGGCUAAUUCUUCCCAUAGCUUGCUGGGUGGUCACAUUUGAGAUAGCAUUCCCUUCCAAAUAUGUUCUAGUUCGUUUCCUCUAGUAACAAGCAUAAAUCCUAGUAACAAGCAUAAACCCUAACCCCAACCUAUAACCUAAUAACAAGAAGAAAACCCAACGAGGUAUUGAUCAAAGAAAAAUUAGGGAGCAUACCUUCACAGAUGGAGGAAGGAAGCUGUUCGUCUUCGCAGAGAGAAAAUCUAGGGAAAGAGAAAAACGUCUUAUGAAAUACUUGGGGGGGAGGUUGGAUUUAUUUUGGUCUUUUUUAUUUAUAACUCUCCCCUUAAAACCUACGUAAAUUUAUCACUUAAUGAAAUCCUUCCAAAUAUAUGACCUUUCGAAUACACCUAGAUUUGAUUCAACUUUUUUAUAAUCAUAAUUGAAUACACCCAUAUUUGAAUGGACUUUUUAAAAGUUCAUAUAGGUCCGAAAUGAAUAUACUCAAACUUGUAAAACCUCUUUUAAAGUUUGUAUAAAUCCAAAUUGAAUACACCUGGAUUUUUAAAAUCUUUUUAAACACUUUAUAAUCCUAAUUGAAUACACCCCCCUUAUUCUCAAAAGACUAUAUUACUUUACCUCUAUCUCUGUGAAAUGUAAAAAGUUGAAACUUUAAUGUCAAACCUCAACAAAAGAUGAACUUUCAUCAGUUACGUUGAAUUUGGAUUUGUUGAACUUAAGUGGUUUUAUUUUCUUUGUCAGUGUUUGAUGACUUAAUUUGGUAUUUAUUUCUUCUUUUUUUUCCUUGGAAAUGUGUUCCACCAACGUGAGGAAGAAAAAUAUGCACAAAUUAAUAUAUUUAAUAGAAGCCCAAGAUUUCGGAUGCAUAUAAUUUCUACAAAAAUCUACAAAGUUUUUUACUUUACAAACUUCUUAUGUCUACCAAUUUCUACUAAAAUUAAUUUCUCUGUGGUGCUCAAAUUCAUCAUAUGUGUGUCGUUAAUUUUAUUGAAAAUUGGAAGUUCCCAUCAUUUUUGUUUUUUGGGAAUUUUCUGAACCAAGGAAAAUCAAGUAAAAUUAAUAAAGCCUAAAUUGGAAAGGGAAAAUAUCUAGAGGAUGCAUUGUAGGAUUGCUCAUGCCAAUAAUUGUACCCUCUAAAUAUAUAGAGACAUAUUUUUUUUGUUUUCAUGACAUGUGGUCCUAAAAUUAUUGUGUAAAUCUUCAAUCCUGAACGAUGCACCUAAAACUCAUCCACCCAUUCUCAGGCCAAUUAUUGCACCUAGUGGGCUCUCGACCCCCUCUCAAAUUUAACCACAUAUUUUAUGGACCAUCCAGCUGUGAGGUACAUUCCCCCCACAUGCCACAAUUGUAUAUUCACAAUUACGUCUGAUACAUCACAUCAUGCCACUUGCCUCAAAUGAAUUUAAGUGAGUGAGGCAGUUGGAAGUAAUUAAGCUCUAUAUUGGUGGGUGGAGUGUUACUUCUCGGUUCCCCUCAUCAUUCGUCUAUAAAAUGGUGAAGGCAGUUGCUAUUGUUACCAUAAGAGCCAGCUCCGACUUCCUUUAAUUUCUUGCUUCAUAUCCACUAGCUACAUCUGUUACCAAGUUAAUUUCAGUUCUAAUGGGGUUUCAUCUCCCACUCAUCUUUGCUCUUCUCAGUGUAAGCUCUGCAAUUUGAUUAACUUUUCCAUUCUCUCUCAUUGUACUCUAUAUAAACGAAAGUUUUGUGUUCCUAUUGUUCUCUCCGAUUUUAUUUAGUACGUACUUAAGUGUCGUCCACUAAUUAAUUAUACUUUGUGAUUUGAUUUUAAUUUGAGUUUGAAUUAAUGUUGCAGCUAGCAGCAGUGGCACUGGCAAACCAUGCUGCUCAACCAGCACCUCAACUUUACUGGAGCUCCGUCCUGCCAAACACACAGAUGCCAAGAUCUAUCAGUGAACUUCUGCAUCCUGGUUUGUGUUGAGCUCUUUAGAAUCUUAGAUAUCUCUUCUACCUGCCAUUUUACUAAAAUAUGUUCCACCACAUAUUUAUCAGUUAACCAUUGUCAUUACAUGAGUGACACAUAUUCACAAAUCGGCUGAUCACUUAUUUUCCAUUAUGACUUGAUAUAUAAUUUGCAGACUCCACAAAUGAAGAAAAGAGCACAAAUGACGUUGGCAAACCUGAAACUUUCCCAUUGGGCAAUCAACAUUACUCCAGUCAAAAACAUUAUGGAGGCAUACCUGAAACUUCCCCAUUGGGCAAUAAACAUUACUCCAGUCAAAAACAUUAUGGAAGAGGCAAACCUGAAACUUUCCCAUUGGGCAAUCAGCAUUACUCCAGUCAAAGACAUUAUGGAAGAGGCAAACCUGAAACUUUCCCAUUGGGCAAUAAACAUUACUCCAGUCAAAAACAUUAUGGAAGAGGCAAACCUGAAACUUUCCCAUUGGGCAAUCAGCAUUACUCCAGUCAAAAAAAGUAUGGAAGAGGUGCUUCUCCAUCCGACAAUCAACAACUCCAUUAUAAAGACUUAGCUAUUUUCUUCUUGGAGAAGGACAUGCGCCCUGGCACAACAAUGAAGUUCCAAUUCCCUAUAAAUUCAAACACGGCUACUUUCUUGCCACGAGAAAGCGCUCAAUCGAUCCCCUUCUCCUCUAACAAACUGCCAGAAAUUUUCAACCAUUUUUCAGUGAAGCCAACAUCUGAGGAAGCCAAAACAAU
rnacentral:lncRNA from 1 species